CUUUCUUUUCUCUUUCUAGAGCUGGUGAGAGAGUGGUCGUUCAAAUCCUGACAAACUAUCGCAAUGUUCCCUUUUAAAGCACCUGAAUCCUGAAAACUCUUUUCUUAAUAUCUUUUGCAAAGACUGACUCACCACAUCAUUUUUUUCUAGACACUCACCUACUGCCCCAUGAAAGACUAGUACCGUUACAUGUGUCGACUCACCUUCUCCCCUCUGAGGUUCGUGACGCCUCUGAGGAGUAGGUAGCAUACCGUUAGGGUUACAAGAAAACCGGGCUCUAAUACUAGUUGUCAAACCCCACCCUAGGAGUCCCAGUCAAACCACUAGUUCAACCGAUGAGUCUUACUCAGUUUUUAACUUGAACCACACUCAACUCUAGGCUACUAAUAAAAACAUUAAGACAAGCAUUAACAGCUUAAACUGAACACUUCAAUAAAAUUGACAAACUAGGAUCCGAAAUCCCAAAACACAACAAAUCAAAAAGAGAUGCAACUCCAGUUUAAAAAUACAUAAAAAUUAUAUCCUCUAAUAUAUAAAAACCAACCAGCUUUCUCCCCUCCAUCAGCUCCAAUACCUGUGACUGAACACAUAGAUAUGCCAAGAAAAACAAGUCUAAUGGGGUUAGUGAUAACCAUUGAGUGGCUAAACUAGGCUCGCAUAAAACUGCAACUAUACUAAGAAAAUAGGGCAAGAAUCAAGUAAUGUGACUCUGCGGUCCUGUAGGGAUCAUCCUAUCAAUAGUCACCCCUAACUAGUAGCUGAUAGCCUCAUGAAGGAUCAUACCAUGAAACCACCCGUUGAUACCGUGUGAGCAGCAUCUGUACGCAUACUCCACACAUCUUGCAUGACCGUAGAAACAUCCUGGGGGAUUUUGCAAUCCAUGGGUGGGUGACCAACACACAUAAGGAGCUAAUCUAGCUAAAUCUGAAUUUUGUCCUAAGCAUGAACUGUGAACCACAGUUCAAAUGUCAUGAGCUUAUGCUCGAACUUAAACAACUACCUGUUCAGUAGAUCACACGCUACUGCACAGUGUAUGAGCCCGACUCUGUUUCAUAACCCAUGUAUAGUAGAUGACACGCUAUUGCACAGUCUUGAGAGCCCGGCUCCGAAACACAACACAUGUACCGUAGAUCACACGCUACUGUACAGUCCUGAGAAUCCGAUCAUCGCAUUCCUGACAAUCCUAAUUACAGUUAUAUGCUUAAGUCAAAAAGUAAUCCUAACCCUCACCUAUUAAGAAGGGAUGGCAUUUCUGAUUCUCACUUGACAUGAUUCCUCUCACUGCCACUAAUCUAUAGCUUCUGACCGUGCAUCAUUUGGAGUUUAACCAAUUGAGUUAUACUCCAUUUACUUGUAGCAAUCUGAAACUUGCUAGGACAGAAACGUGGCGCUAAUCCUCCAACUGCCUCCAUUACACUAACUGAUCCAAAACUUCUACUCAUUGACAAAACUAACCCAAGUCCUUAACUAUAAAACAUCCAAAAGUUCAAAGUUGCUAAAGGUCCUCAACGCGUCCUACACACCACCAAAGCCGUUGCACCCUUGCCGAACGCGGAUGGCGCCACCGCUACUGCUAUUCCUAAAGCUCCGCCUUGAAUCUCCUCAAUCUCCUCCGAAAUAGUGAUCGGCACCGCCACAACUCCAUCCUCGUUUGCCCUCGAUCGAUGGAAUUCAAAAUCCUCACCUCUUGGCGUCAAAACUAAUGGCAACAAGUAACUUACCCUGCUCAUCGUCUCAGUGCAUCACCAGUUAGAUCAUGGAAGGGAAGUUAAACCAUUCUCCCACUUGAUGGUAAUGGGGCCCAACUCCACAAUCUGAUCCAUCAUACGGCCCAAGGCCCACCUCAACUUUAAUUGGACUCAAGGCCAUAAUUUAAGCCUAGGGUGGCAGUCCUCACCCUUCACUUGAAUGGUUCAAGUCCUAUCCAGAGCUAUAAAAUCAAUCUAACGGUCUAGAAAUCUUCGAGUUCAUAACUAACAAUUCACAGGCUUAACCCCUCUUCUGAUGGACUUAGUCAACCCAAUAACUAUCUCGAGCCUUACAAAUCUUUAAUACUUGGUCAAUUGCUGAGUCAACUCAUCAAAUUAAUUAAAUUAAUUCAUUUUUCAACUUCCGACUUCUACUCAACGAGUAAGUUUUGAAUCAAAAAAAAUUUUAACCGAACCAAAAAUUGAGGUGUCACAAUUGUCUACAGUAUGCUUAGCUUAUACAUGUGAUGGUUAGACAGUUAUGUUCAUGUUUCUACUUGAUGAUGUGAAAUUCAUUAAACUAAGAUAAGUUGUUAAACUAUAAUAAGUCCUUAAAUUAUGAUAAGUCAUGUUCAUGAGAUCCAUGUUAUGGCAUGUCUUUUUUCCAGGAUUAAUGCUCCCAUUAUGUCCAUCAUAUUCAUGUUACGGUUAGGUAGUUAUGUCAUGUUAUGUAUUAUUUAAUGAUGUGCAAGUUGUACCCUCGAAUUAUGAUAAGUCAUGUCAUGUCUCCCUGAUAAGGGUUUAUCUCAUUUUCAUGUGAUCCAUGUUAUGGUUAAGUGGUUAUGUCAUGAUAUGUUGGGUUAUUACAUGAUGAUGUGCAAGAUGUGCCUUGAAUUAUGAUAAGGCUAGACUACUUCAAGGUUAGGGUGUGAUAUGUCUACAUGACUAGUGAGUAGUGAAUAAGUACACGUUACUUAGACAAGUAAUGUGUAUUAGAAACAUGUAACUUUCUGGCUAGACCACCACCCCCUAUGUUGUGAUCUCAUGGUACCGUCUGAUGGAUACAUACUCACGGACUCUCACGUUCACGUUUGGGCCGGUAUUGCCCCUCAUGUUACCGUCUGACUGAUACGUACUCGCAGACUCUCACGUUCAUAUUUGGGCUGAUAUUGCCCCAUGUUUCUCACGUUUGGGCCACAUUUUUCCCCUUAUGUUACCGUCUGAUGGAUACAUAGUCCCAAACUCUCACGUUCACAUUUGGGUGUUGGACUAGUUAGUUGAGUUGGGGGGGGACGUCCCGCUAUUGAAAGUUCAAGUGAUAAGAUACCUCAGAUAAGUUCAUGUACAAGUAUGUCAAGUUCAAGGGAUAAGAUAACUUAGAUAAGAUCAAGUAUAAGAUUCAAUGUUAUGUGUUUUCAUGUUCGCUAAGUGAUGUUGGUGAUAAUGACCACCUGAUAUGAUAUGUUCAGUGAUUGUCAUGUGCUGAUGUGUUGUGAUAUGUUCAAAUGUUUCUUAGAUGUGAUAACUAUGUGUUGGGAUAAAUAUUCAUGUAAUGAUGUGUUCCUUAUGUUCCAAUGUGCCAUGGAUUUGAUGACUAGUUGUGAUCAAUAUUCAUGCAGUGAUGUGUUCCUUAUGUUCCAAUGUUCCUUUAGAAUGGAUUAGAGGUUCAACCUUUGAUGAUGACUAUGUUACUUGCCAUGUUGAGUUCUCAUGUGUUAGGAUUACACAAAGAUGGAUACUAUAUCUUAUAUGCCUACUUAGCUAGUAUCAAUGAUGCCUUAUACAAUGAUAUGUUUUUGUCUUCCCUAUGUUCUAGCAUGAUACUCAUGUUAUGUGUCUACAUAACUAAGUCAGAAUAUGUUGUGGUUAGAUAACUAGAAAGCAUGUCCCUAAGUAAAGGCAAUGUUUGAAUAUAGCAAUGUCUGAUUAAGGUGAUGUCUGAAUAAGGUAAUGUCUGAUUAAGAUGAUGUCUGAAUAGUUUGAUGUCUGGAUGAGUUGAUGUUUGAAUAAUUUUGAUAUUGUUAAACUUAAGUUGGAAAUCAUAUGUGUUAUAUUAGAGCAUAAUAGACUAACCCCAGAACCACCCACUAGGGUGUUUCUAAGUUGAUGCAGUAGUAGAGUUGAGCUGAUUCGGAUGUGCAGCGAUGGACUUGGUAUUCAAUGUCGGGUUUGAGUUUCAAGUGUUUAUUCUGAGACUUGAUUCUUUUCAUGUUGUCUUAUGUUGGAGCACUCUCCGCUUUUGUUAAAGCAGAUGAUCAUUUUCUAUCUUUUUGGUUGUUCUAUUUAAAUAAAGUUUUUGAAAUUCCUUUGAGUUGAGUCCCUAUAGGGCAAUUUGGUUAUUAAAUAAAUAGAAAGUUUUUGGGGUGUGUCACAAGCGCCCGCGACAAAGAGUAAAACCUGCGACCAUUGUAUGAGCGCUAAUGGAUUUAUUCAAACGUUGUCGCAGUCCGCCUAAAACAAGAGCUCGACUGCGAUAAACAUAGUGAAUGACUACCCUUCAGCAGCCGAUCUCCACUCAUUCCACACAGCUUCAACUCUCCUCCCAUCUGAAAUCCUCCUAUUCCUCUCAAUUUCCUCCAUCGAUUUUCUCCUCUUCUCUUCUCCAAUUUUGUCACCCCGACUUCCACCCUUUUCUCGAAAUCGCCAAUAUCAGCUUACUGUUACUAACAAGAAGCAUAAGAGUUCGAUUUUGAUAUAGUUGUGUCGGGCAAUCGCAUUGUGUUUGAGUUGAAGAAUCAGGGGGUUAAACCUGUAGGUCCACUUCAUUCCUUCAUGGGAUACUACAUAAGUGAGUGUACAAGAAAUUAUGCUUACUACCCGGUCUCUCCAAUCGAAUGGAAGAAGUUGUCGCCCCAAUUGAAGACACGGGCUUGGGAGCAGUUUGUGCUAGUAAGUAUUAUUUUAGUUUUUUUAAUUAGAUAUAUUUUUGUAGUUAAAAUUGUAACUAGUUAGUGCUUAAUUGAUUUAUAUUAUAAACCUCUUUUCACAUUGAGGCGAAUGAGAUGGUUGAAGCUCGCAAAUAUUGGGAUCGCAAUGUUGGAAGACUGUUGGGGGAAGUCAAGGAUCACAAUUUGGCAAGCUUAGUUGAAGCAUGCACAAAUAAACCAACUCCCUCCAUAGUGGAUUAUGAAUAAUUCCUUGACAGGUUGUCCAAUGGCUGAUUGGAUAACGUACUUGUUGCGAGUUAACGACAAGUAGUUCGAGAUAGUACAUAUAUUUACAGAUUUCUAAUUGUAUUUGAUUGUAGUUUUUAAUACCGACUCAAGAACUUUUAUGUGCUUGAGUCAUAUCAAAUCAAGCCGCUCAAAUGGAAAACCAUAAAGGAGGGAGAAGGCCAUGUGAUACAUAUGUCAAGGAAACCAUUGAGAAGAUGGGUAAGCCACCUUCUCUACGCCAGAAGUUCAUAAAGUUCUUCCACUAACUAGAUGGAAGUUACAAAUCAGAACAUGGAAUACUUGUGGUGGUAAUGACUAGUUUCCAUAUAUAUAAUAGAUAUAGCUUUAAACUAGAAGACAAUAGAAUUAAUUGAACAUCUGUUAUGUAGGAGACUAUCAGCAACUAGAGCGGGAAGGAGCACCGACUGAGGUUGGGCCUAAUGACUCAUUGGCUCAAACACUAAACAAGCCAAAGCAUCGAGGCCACGUUCGGAUGAUGAGUUUGGGGUUUACCCCACAAUGGUAAUAAUGUUCAAUUUCAAAUUUGUUCUUUCUUGGGUCGUUAGUGUUUGUACCUUGUUUGGUGAUAUUUGUACUGUUUUUUCUUUAAGGUAUUUGGUGGUGCUAGCACUUGUUCAUCAUCAUCAUCAGCUCCUUCUGCCUCUGGGAAUGCAAGUGUGUCCUCAAAUGCUGCUCCUAGUGCUCCCCCUCCCUUACGAGAAGAGUUUGAUUGGAUGUCGUAGCAGAUGGCAUUGAUGUUGCAACAGUUGGCUACAAUGUAUUACAUGAUGUCGUCGGAGCUCGCCGGUGCUUUUACCUAAGUUUUGACUCCUGGGAUAGUUCCUGGUACUCCAUUCAAUCCAAGUCCUCUAUAUCUGUAUUAGGAGCCUAUGCAGCAGCAACAACCAUCUCAACAAUAGCAACAAGCUCAUGAGACCAAUCUUAUGGGUUACUUCCCAUUCUCUCAAGAAGCCAAAAAUCAGUUUCGCCUUCAUGGGAUGAUGGCGAAGCCUUUUCUUCCCUUCUUCAUACAUUAGAAAGAGUGAGUUUUAUAAUUAGUUUCUUGAAAUUUCAAUUAGAAUUCAUGUUUGUACUUACUUGUGUUUUUUAUGUUUAUAUAUAGGUCCCCAUUCCAGACACGAGGGAGCAACGAGAUGAUGAUGAUUGUUCGUAGUUGUAUUUCUAGUUAGUUCUAGCUCUCUCCCCAUCCCUAUUCCCAUAUAUUAUGUAGUAUUUGAAACUUCUAAGAUAGUUUCUUAAGAUAAUUUCUUAACGUUUGCAUAUUAAUGUUUGUUAUUGUAGUUUGGAAUUAUUACAUGAGAUGGUAAUUAUGGAAUUAUUAUGUGUUAUUAUGGAAACCUAAAAACUGCUCUAAAUUCUAAAAUUCUGCUCUAAAUUCUAGAACAUUGAAAAAGCUCUAUAACUGCAAAGGUAGAUCAAUUUGAAAGUGAUAGGUGGCACCAUACCAGAAUAGACACAUCUCCAGCAUUAUUGUAAUAGGCUAGUCGCAGGCCCUUUCUCGCAAGUGUUGACUACGAUUGGCCGGUCACUGGUAGCGCCUGUGAUAAAGCGCCUACAACCAGCCAAUCGCAGCCAACGGCUACGACAAGGCGAGCUUUGUCACAUCAAUAAUUGUCGCAUGCCUAUUUCUAUUUGUCGCAUGCACUGUAUGUAACCAUCCUUCUAUUUUAUGGCAGGCUGGCCUGCGACAUUGUUUUGUUUUUGCUUGUGACUGUUUUCCCUUUUUAUUGCAGUGUAAGUUAUACACUUUCAUGCAUUAUUACGUGUUGAAGAUGGAUUCUAACGUGAUUUUGAAAGCUCCUAGACCGAAACGAGUGACCAUUUAGUUUGAUUCUUUUAGUAAUGUGUAAAUGAAAAGUCUACAUGCUAAAUAUAAAUUCAUAAAUUUGUUCUCAAUAAUAAAAAGUUUACUAGUUAAGAAUAGUUGAAAUAUUGAUGGACGAUGUUAAGUUCAUCCUUCCAUAAAUUUAAUUCACAAACUUAAAAUGAUUCGUAAGUGAAAUGUUAGUAUUAAGACGUUCACAGAUGAAAACAACAAAGAUUGAACAUCAAACUGUAAAGAUAAAAAUAAACUGUAUCUCAUAUUAUUUGGAAUUAAGNNNNNNNNNNNNNNNNNNNNNNNNNNNNNNNNNNNNNNNNNNNNNNNNNNNNNNNNNNNNNNNNNNNNNNNNNNNNNNNNNNNNNNNNNNNNNNNNNNNNNNNNNNNNNNNNNNNNNNNNNNNNNNNNNNNNNNNNNNNNNNNNNNNNNNNNNNNNNNNNNNNNNNUAAUAUAAUACUCAUAAGUGGACAUAACAUAGACAUAAUCCACCUAUAAAGUGGACACAAUGAUUAUAUAUAUAAUUUUAUCAUAAUAUGAACAUAACAGUGACAUAAUUUACUUAUAAAUGUAACAUAAUAGUGAAUUAACAUACUCAUAAGGUGAAUAUAAUAGGGACAUAAAAUGUUCGUAAACCAAGCCUAAAAGAUGCCUAAUAAACUUAUAACUUAGACAUAACAUAGGCAUAAAAGAAUUGCAGUAGUACUGAUAUUUAGGUUAUGUAGCAUAAUAGCCUAAAACAAGUGGUCUACUCAAAACACUAAAAAUUGAUAUAUAAUCGUAAUAUAAUUGUUCUAUGACAGUUAUCCGUUAUUAACAUAGAAGUUGUACAAACAUAUUGUGACACCUUGAUUUUGGGUUGAGUAUGAUUCUAGGAUAGUAUUGGUUUUUGUGAGUCGGUGAGAAUCACUGUCAGACGGUCCGUCACGGGCGUAUCGGACAGUCUCUCAUAGGCGUGAUCAUCAGGUAGAUCAUGAUCGUGGUCAAUGAUAGUCACGAACGUGGCAGCCGGAGGAUGACGGCCGUGACCAUCAGUAGGUCAUGGACGUGGUUUCCAUGUCACAACGGGUGAGGUAAGCAGUACGCCAUGGGUGUGGUGGACAACUUAUGAAACCUAAUUUUCUUCUUCCUUGCAAACUUCUGACGAGCGACGAUUGUUCCAGGCACAGGGGAAAGUCUUGUUGAUCGAUCCAGACCAGUAGGAGAGGCCUAGAGAUCAUCGAGGAAGCUUUAGGAGGUAAUCUACCUUCUUCCUCGUUCGUCAAUCCUUUUCUUUGAAUCCCAUGUAGGAAAAUCCUGACAGGUUUGGAUUUGGAGUUUUGGGAUUUCAAUUUUAUGAUUGUUCCCUUCAGGUUAUAUGGAUUAGGCAAGCAAACUCUAGGUUUCAGAUCAUACUCUUCAGAGGAAAGCUUUCAGAGGUAGGGGUUAGGAUUACUUUUCUGCUUUAUGCGAAGAAUUGUAAUUAGUUGUCAGGAAUCCUUGUUUGGAUUUUCAGAAUUGUACAAUAGUGUGCGAUCUACUGUAUAGAAAGAUUUGUUAUGCAGUUUAGAGUUUCGGGUUGUACAAUAGCGUGUGAUCUACUGCAUAGGCAGAUGGUUAUGAUUCGAGCAUAAGCUCACAACGAGAAACUAUGCAUUUAUACAGUUCAUGUUAGGAUUAAGAAUCAGAACUAGAAUAUACUAGCUCACGAUAUACGUUGGUCACCCACCCUAUAGAUUGUGCGAUCCCCGAGGCUACAUUUACUUUCAGGUAGGACUUGACGAUAAUGCCUUCAGUUGCUGCUCUCACGGUCUGAUCCACCAUGAGGUCAUCCGCUCAUAGCUAGGGGUGGCUAAUGUUAGGAUAAUACCUAGAGGACCACAUGGUCACAUUACUAGAUACUAGUUCAGUUUUUCAUGUUCAGGGUCAGCUGCUCAGUGCUUAUCACUGACCUUGUUACAUUUCAUUAUACAUGAUCAACCUUGGGACUUCAGGAGCCAAUGCCGCUUAAGAAAGGAGCAUGAGUAGUGACACCACCUCGCAGUGAGUCUGGGAGUCACACAGAGAGGUACCAUCGAGUACCUCAGCUGUCUCUUUCAGUGUUUUCAUAGUUUUAAGACAGUCUUUCAUGUUUUUUCAGUUGUUUGUGAGACUUAUUUUACAGUGGUUGUUUUCCCAGGUUUGGGAUGUCUUUUAGUGAUGUUCAUUUUUGAAUUCGAGCCAUGAUGCUCUGUUUAUUUUUUGCUGUCGUUUUACUUAAGUAUUGAGGAUUUUCAGUUCAGUUAAUGUAUGUCAGUUGUUAUGAUAUAAGUUUGAGUGAACCCAUGAGCAAUGCAUGGAUAGAACCGUGUGGUUUGAUCGAGUCAUCUAGGGGUGGGUUUCACACAUAUUAGUUAUAUUAUGUGACAUUAUAAUAAAUAAUAAAGGGAAUAUUGUCAUUUACCCUCUUUUACUUCACCCAACUCGCAUUAAGCCCUCUAUACAAUUCAAUGUUCCAUUAACCCCUACACAUUGCCCACUUUACCAUUCGUCUCCUUCCGUUACGCUUUCCAUAUGUACACCGUUAAAACCAUACAACUCAACAUGCCAUGUAAGUUUUUCGGCACCACAUCAGCGUUUAAUUCCUUUAACAAUUCAUGAAAUAUAAAAAAUUCCAGACACCCUUCUUUCUUCACUCUUCUCCACUCGACCCCCAACCUUUCUCACAUCCGAUGCAGCCGAACUUCGCCCCGAGGGUGAACACAAGGAGAGGAGGGUUGCUAGAUUUUGGGUGUUGUUUUUGCACUCAAAUCCGAUUCAAAAGAAAUAUUGGCCACACUGGAAAAAAGUUAUGGUUUGAUCAUCCUCUAAACAUUCGUAGCAGUGUAAUUCAAGGUCUUAAAUUGGCUACCACUACCAAUUGGAAAGUGAGCAAGCCAAUUUGUAGCGAACACCAAGUGUUCAACAAAAUUCUUAGAUGCUAAAAGACUCUUACUGGCAUCACAAACACUUGACAAGGGUGCUAAGUCACUAUUUGACACCCCCUAACAUUCCAAUCACCUAAAUUGUCACUACCUAAGUGAUUACCAAAAUGCACUCAAGGUGUUAGAUAAAAUGCCACUAAGAGAAUCCUCACACUAAUGGUUGAAUUGGGGUGUGUGCUUGGUCCACACACCCUUACCCCAAUCUUGGACUACACACUUACUCAAGUCAAGCACAAUUAAGUAAUUGAAAGAGUACAUUUGACCUAGAACAAGCCAUAGCACAUUCUAAGUUGCAAUAACCAUAGUCCAACCAUUCUCAAAUACCAUAAUCCAUAUCUAACAUGUAUCCAAAUCCUCGUCAUGAGGGGAUCAUCCUAGUACAUAGCAAUACCCUAAUCUAACAACUAAAGAGUCUAGCCACUCAUCAUGACACUAAAACUAAAGAAAAGGGAUACAAUCACCAUCAAUCAACUAGUAUGAAGAAGAUGAUGAGGGUAGGAUCCUUCCUCAAAGCUCUACUAUUCCAAUUCCUUCAAUCCUUGGUCUUCUCUAGCUCCGAAGCUUCUUCAAGGUCUUCAAUUGAUCUUCUAAGGCUUCAAAUUGGGUGAAAAUCGAGAGAGGAGUCGGGUCUCAACAAUUGUUAUGACUGUAGUGUGAAUUGUUCGUCCAAUCUCCAUGGACCAUAUGCCAUGUGGACCAACACGGGCUCCAGAUGCCAUGUGGCCUAAUUUCCAGCUUAGGACUUUGUUCUUUGAUCGCACAUAUCUCCCUCGUCCGACCUCCGUUUGAGCUCUGGUUGGUCUCAUUGGAAUUUUCUCGUUGUUCUUUAUGCAUCGGAUACCUACAGCCUCAUAUAUACAAUGAGAAACGAGGUCGAACGGACCAAAAUGAUCCAUUUGACAAAAUGAAACAAGAACCCCUUUUUUUCUUCCAACCAAUCACAAAGGAGGGUCAAAACUAGGUCAAACAAGGUAAAAAACAGUCAAGAUGUGGUCAAAUUGGCAACAAAUAAUCGUGCUAUCACAUCCCCCCACACUUGAACGUUGCUUUUCCUCAAGCAAAUCUACUAAUCACACUCAAAGAGAACUCGAAACAGGGUGAAAAGAAAAUAUUUCCUAGCAUUUCAAGCCUAUUUCACGAUGCCAAGAUUGCAAGUCAAUCACCAAACCACUCAAUUAUGUAUAAGACAUUGAAUCCCUUAAAAAAUUUCACACCAAACUCUAAUAUAUAGAUAUUAUGAUUAGAUACCUAAACAAGCGAAUGUACUAAAGUUUCUCCAAUGCACUUAUGUCAUAUGGUACUAGCGGAAGAAAUGGACAGACAGACGGUCCUGGCUGGGUAUUUUUCCCGUCUUGAGGGAGGGGAUGCCUGAUCUAACAUAAACAUAACUAUCACCAAGUAUACUAGCAUCUCCCUCUUCUUUUACUCUACUUUGCUUUCUUUUGUAUUUAGUUUUCAACUAUCUUUUCUCCCUCUUUUUUUUCACAUGGAUGCUUUUUCCAAAUGAGGUGGUUGUGAUUCCAAUUAGGCUCAGAUCCGGUGAAUACCGGGCACCAGUACCGCAAUCCACACAUCGAAGGGUUGAGAAGAGGAGCCCGAGGUGUUGAGCAUACGAGUGGCAGAUCGAAAUCUACCUUGCGUGUUUGAAUCACAACCUUCCUCCAUAUCAUUCUUAAGCACAUUGGCCUCCUGUCCAUUUUGACUUCAUAAUACCAUAGACAAGUUCAAAAAGGAGAAUCAAUCAUACAUAUCGAGCAAGUAAAGGUGAAAACUCAAAACAUCCAUAUGUGCGAGUUUGAAGCAAACUAAUUUCAGGAAAAUGGGAGGUAGUCCACAAAUGAUUACUCAACAACCUAUUCGUCCUCAAGUAGUAUGAAUAAACUAGGUAUGCAUCCAAAGAGAUUCACAUAUUCAAAUUUGAGAGGGAGUAUCAAAAUUCAAGAGCAAGUCAGAAAAAAUGCUACCAAGAUAUGCACAAAAAUUCUCAAACCCGAAUAGUAUAAAAAAAUCCUCCCCCCCCCCACACUUGUACAACACAUUGUCCUCAAUGUGAAAAGAUAUAAGGGGAAGAGGGGUACCAAACGGGGGUGAGGAGUGAAGCCGGAUGAGAAGAUGAAGGAUCAAGAUCGAGUACCUAGAGUUUCACAAAAGGCAAGAACAAAAAAAAAACAAAAAAAAAACGCAGAAACAAACACGAAUAAUGGUCGAGUCAAGAGAAAAGAAGAUAUCUCAAGGCCGUCGAGGAGCUGUCUCAACAAGAAUCCAAUCCACUUAGGCAAGAGUAUACAAGAAUGUGCACAAGUAGAUAUGGAAGAGGCAAGAUGCAUAAGAUAUGCAUAACCAAUAAAGAAGAUAACUAGUUAUUCUCAACCAAGACUAACUAGCAAUCCUAAACAAGAGCAUCCUAUAAUCCAUAAAUGAGUAAGACAAGGGUGAGAAAAAGCUAUGGAACCAUCUCAACUCAUUUAGAAUCAAUUCCAGAAAGUUAUCAUCACAAACGUGUACCAAGUCCAAUCAACAAGAAUGAGCAUAAAGAGUGUAUGCAAAGCAUCAAGUGAACAAAGUAUGCAUCAUUCAACUAUAAUCAAUUUGAGAGCUCAAUGGACUACUAGUAUGCAUCAUUCUUCUUUGACUCAUUAACCAAAACAAUGAGCACAUAUGGAUAAUCAAAAGUAGUGGCAUGAUCAAAAUUCAAGCAUUAGAAGCAAUGAGCAAAGUCACAAUCAUCAAUUCAAUAAUUGGACGCAUCAAAUUCACCUAGCAACAACCUAGGUUCAACCAUACAAGGGAGCACAAAGAUGCAAUUCCAAAUUCUCAUCGCAAGAAUUCAACAACCCACAUAAUUCUUGUUCAAAAAUAUCAUAUUGGCAAAGCUAGACAUUCAAGUAGGCACAACCAUCUGAAACUGGCAAUUGCAAUGUUCAAAUUAGCACAAAAGCAUCAUUUGACCAAAUUUGACCACAAUUCAAACUUUCCACACACUCCAUCAAUCAAACCAGAGCAAACAGAACACAGACGACACAGAUUCAGGCCACAUCAUCAACCAAAAAGUCGUAGGCAGUCAAACGAGCUUUCCAACGCCGCUGGUCUUGCGAAAAACAAACGCUCGAGCAAGAAGUUAUGCUCAAAAUACCGAACCACAGCAUUUUUUCGCACAAGGCGACCAAUCAACGGAGGGUCAACGUCCGGUGAACCGGUCUGGUCAAACUCAGGUUGGUUCGGUUUGAAAAUCGGUUAAACAAUGCACCCCCUUCUUUGAAUAGUGCAUCUUGGCACAUUUUUAACACAAUCGAGCACGUUUCGGAGCUGGAAAUUCAAGUUUUUUUUUAGAAAACCCAUUGGAACUGUAGAUUUUGCAUAAAAAGUACGCUUUAGCCUUUUGUUUCCAAAAUCAAGCAAAUUUUAGGAUCUGAAAGUUCAAUUUUUUCAGAAAACCCGUAGGAAGUGUAGAUUUUUCAUAAAAGUAAGUCUGAGCAUAUUUUUUAGUAAAACAACCAUUUUUUAGCUCUCGAAAAUAUAAAAAUUUCAAGACUGCUUUUUUUCUUUUUCCUAAUGCAACGAAACUUCCUGCUAGCCUUAGGCACACUAAGAUAAGAUCAAGCAAAUCUCCAAACACUCGUUCUCUCGUCCCGGUCAUCACAAGAACACAAGAAACAAAAACACAAACAAAACACGACAAACACACAAUCAUGCAAGUUUUAUUCAAUUUUCCUACUCCUAAGCUACACUAUUCAUGACGAGACACCUAUGGUAUCACCAACUUGGUAAUGUUCAAGAUGCAUCCCACAAAGUAGAAGAGGGUCAAGAUGAGUAGAGGAGGUUACCUCGAUCUUGGAAGGAACGAACUUUUGUUACCAUAAAGGGGCCGGAGAUGAGGACUCUAUCGCCCUCUUUGAGUGCUUGUUUGGUGGGGAGGUGCAAAUCAUGGAGUUGCUUGAUCGCUUUCUUGCAACUCCCAUCCUUGACCUUGUGGACACUUUUUUGGUGAGAAGAAGGAUUCUUGGGCUCAAGGUCUGGUGGUUCUUCAUGCAUGUUCCUCGCCUUAGCAUGCACUCCCUUGAUCGAGAUAGCUUCGGUUUCCUUAUUAUACUAUUUCACACACUCGCUCAAGGAUGGAUCCAAGGCUUCAUGAUGAAGAGAUACAUUAAUAGCAUAAACUAAAGCCAUUUCAACGGGCUCGCCAAUAUCAUUAUCAUCUUGAGGAUCCGGGUGCUCCAUACCCCCGAUCAAUUGAAAUGUGGCUUCCUUUUGACCCACUCUCAAGGUAAGCUUACCCUCAAACACAUCUAUGAUUUCCUUCGACGUGUUGAGAAAUGGACGACCCAAAAUCAAUGAAACGUCGGUGUCUCCGGUGUCAAUCACAACAAAAUCCACCGGAAACAUGAACCUUCCAACAUGCAUAAUAACAUCUUCAACUACACCACUAAGCAAUUUUGUAGUUUUUUCCGCUAGUUGGAUGCACAUCUUAGUUGUUGUAAGUUGACCUAGGCCUAGUUUCUUGUACAAUGAAUAUGUCAUGACAUAUAUACUAGCACCUAGAUCUGCUAAACCUCUUUCAAUCACAACUUGACUAAUCAUGGAAGGGAGAAAGAAACUACCCAGAUCUUUGCGUUUGCAAGGGAGGUCCCUUGAGAGGAUUGUCGAGCAUUGCUCAUUGAGAUUGAUGUUGGAAGCUUCUAUGAGCCUUCGCUUGUUGGUGAAGAUCUCCCUUAGGAACUUGGCGUAUUGAGGCAUCCUUUCGAUUGCCUCGACGAAAAGAACGGUGAAGUUCAUAUUGCAAAGUCGAAGCACAAGUUGCUUUAAGCUCUUCUCGAGAAGAUCCUUAUCCAAUUGGUUGGGAUAAGGUGGCUUAGGGUUGUAUGGAGCCGACUGGGGCUAGGAGAUAGGAGAAGCCUCAGUUGAACUCUUCGUAGCCUUCUUGGAACCAACUUCAGUUGACACCUUUGGCUUUCCAUUACUCUUUGGAGCUUUCGGAACUAAUGCAUGCGGAACCGGUGCACUUUCUUCGACCAUCACUUCAUUCUCUUAAUCACUAGAUGCUUCAUUUUUCAUUAACAUCUUUCACAAGAAAUUCAUUAUCAUGCACAAGCUUGCUAGGUACAUCGAUAGGAGGAUCGAUUAAAUUUAGGAGUUGUGGACACAUAGUGUCUCAUGCUCCUAGUUGUGAUAGAUCCACAAGUUUCCUUGCUCUUUGGAUUGGUUAUGAUAUUUCUAGGUAGAGUGCACGGUUGCCGACUUGAAAGAGCGUGUGUGAGGUAUCCAACUUGAUUCUUAAGAUCCACCAUUUGAGCUUGAGUUGAGGCAUUGUGGGUGUCUUGAAAUGCUCUUUGCUCUUGAGUCACCUUGUUGUGCUCUUGGAAGAACUUAGCUUGAUUCUCAAUCAUUUGGUUUCCUCCAUUGAAGCUCCCUUGAACAUAAUCAACUUCUUUAAUGAAGUGCUCUUCCUCCGGUGCGAAAUCGGGAGCAAGGGAUUGGCAAGUAGAGGUGGCAUGCCCUUCGUUCCCAUAACAUUCACAAACAAAGAGUUGCACAACCAGUUGAUUCACCUUUGGUUCUUGUACCUCUUUCUUUUGAGGUGGAGUGGCGGUUGGUCUCACCACCGGUUGAGCCAAGGCAAGUGCUUUGAUUUGAGCCGCCAUGCCAUCCAUCCUUGAUAGCAUCAAGUGAACAAGAUGGUUGGGAUCUUCCUCCUUAUGUCCCGGCAUCUCCUUAAGGACCUUUGGAGCUUGAGUGCGAGUACAAACAUAAGGAUCUAUGCUCACCACCUUAGCUUCUAUAGGACCUUGUUGCCUAGACCAACUCUUCAUCUUCACCGCCAUUUCCCGGAAGACUUGAAGCCAUCAUUUGGCGAGGAGUGAUCUCAAGUCUCCUCCCGCCGCUUGAUUGGUCAUCUUGGUGUCCUCAUAAGUGAGUCCUCAUAAGUGAGUCCUCUAGCAAAGGUCUCCGCGAGUUUCCACUCAUUGAAGUUGAAGUUGUGAUGAGGGCAAGAGUAGAGAAGGGCUUGGGACCUCUCCCAAGCUUCAAAGAAUGGCUCUCCAUUAAUUUUCUCAAAGUUGGAGAUUCUACUUUGGAUCUCAUCCGUCUUGUAAGGCAGGAAGAAUUCCUCCAAGAAGGCCUUUGCUAGAUUGUCCCAAGCUUGGAAGGUAUUGUUUCGUUGGUUGUCGAGCCAUUGAUUUGCCUUCCAUUGGAGUGAGAAGGGAAGAGUCGGAGUUGAAUGGCUUCUUGCGACACAUGAUUGAACUUCAUUAGAUCCAUGAUCUCGAGAUAGCUACUUGGACAUUCGUGCUCGUGCCCAUGGUAUACGUUUUGUUGCACCAUUUGAAUGUAGUUGAACUUCAACUCGAAGUUCCGGUUAUCAAUAAGGGGUGGAGCACACUUGAAGAAGUACCUUCAAGAGUUGGCUUAGGUAAUCACCUAGAGUUCUUUGAGGUUCUUGAGCCAUCUCAAAGAUGUUAACAAAUUCAUCAGCCUCUCCUUUGCAAGAUGAAACAAUUGAUGAGUGAUCCAGGGUUGUUAAAGAAGUUGCGAUGUGAGGUGGUGGUGGUGCUUGAGGUGGAGAUGAGAUGAAUCUCUUUGGUAGACGCCUUGUACGCUUCAAUCUUCUCAUGCACUAAUAGUGCAUGAACGGAACCUACACAACAAAGCAAACAACCAAGGGAACACAACAAAGGAAUAAACACACAAGAAGGGGGUAGCAAUAAGUAAAAUGGAUUAGGUAGAAUGCCUAAAUCGGUGUCUAAUCUACUCUUUCAAGGGGGUGAUUACACUCCCCAACAAUGGCGCGAUUUUGAUCCUCUAAAAAAGAACCAAACAAACAUGAUCGGCUAAGAAAAGGGACUAAUCCCAAACCCAAGGUCUCAAGUGACAAUUUUCACGAGGAACAGACCACCAACCCUAUACUCAACUAUUAAAGACACGGUUUAAGCUCACAAAAGUUCAAAAUGCUAGUUCCUUAAAUUAUCCACUAAAGUACAUAUCAUUCACAAGAGUAAUUGGAACUAAAUUAAGCUAACGAACUAAGCAAACAAGAUACUAAAGAGGGUGAACACAAGGAGAGGAGGGUUGCUAGAUUUCGGGUGUUGUUUUUGCACUCAAAUCCGAUUCAAAAGAAAUAUUGGCCACACUGGAAAAAAGUUAUGGUUUGACCAUCCUCUAAACAUUCGUAGCAGUGUAAUUCAAGGUCUUAAAUUGGACUACCACUACCAAUUGGCAAGUGAGCAAGCCAAUUGGUAGUGAACACCAAGUGUUCAACAAAAUUCUUAGAUGCUAAAAGACUUACUGGCAUCACAAACACUUGACAAGGGUGCUAAGUCACUAUUUGACACCCCCUAACAUUCCAAUCGCCUAAAUUGUCACUACCUAAGUGAUUACCAAAAUGCACUCAAGGUGUUCGAUAAAAUGCCACUAAGAGAAUCCUCACACUAAAGGUUGAAUUGGGGUGUGUGCUUGGUCCACACACCCUUAAUCCAAUCUUGGACUACACACUUACUCAAGUCAAGCACAAUUAAGUAAUUGAAAGAGUGCAUUUGACCUAGAACAAGCCAUAGCACAUUCUAAGUUGCAAUAACCAUAGUCCAACCAUUCUCAAAUACCAUAAUCCAUAUCCAACAUGUAUCCAAACUCUCAUCAUGAGGGGAUCAUCCUAGUACAUAGCAAUACCCUAAUCUAACAACUAAAGAGUCUAGCCACUCAUCAUGACACUAAAACUAAAGAAAAGGGAUACAAUCACCAUCAAACAACUAGAAUGAAGAAGAUGAUGAGGGUAGGAUCCUUCCUCCAAGCUCUACUAUUACAAUUCCUUCAAUCCUUGGUCUUCUCUAGCUCCCAAGCUUCUUCAAGGUCUUCAAUUGACCUUUUAAGGCUUCAAAUUGGGGGAAAAUCGAGAGAGGAGUCAUAUCAUCAUACAUCUUAAUAUUAUCUCUAAUUGGGACCACCUCAAUAUUAUCUGCAACAAUCUCAUCCUCAGUGUCAACCUCUAUGGCAAGUAGCUGUUGUAACUCCGUUUCUGAAGAUGAUGCAACCACUCCACUAGAGGAGGCAUCACAAUGAACAGCAAACCUACAUGAACAAACUCUAUACGAUUGAGGUUACCAAACAAAUCACCCCACACUUAUCUUUUGCAUAAACCAAUAUGCAUUAAUCAAGCUGUAGAAAAAGAGAAGAGUGGGCUUAGAAGCAACUAUUGAACAUCUCAUCCAAAUAGGAAAUCUGUCAUAAUAAAGAAUACUCAACAUCAUUAAGGCAAUCCACGUAAGGUUUAGGGCACUUAGAAACUAUCCACAAAGUCACACAAACAAUGUAAGACAUGUAAAAUUUCAUAAAUUCUUAACCCAGAAAAAUACCGAGCAAAACUCAACAUUCCUAUGACACCUAAUCAUAUAAUUUCAAAGUGCAAAGGAUGUCAUUAACAUCCUAUAUCAUACCCAAUUGAAUUCUAGCAUCAUCAAUUUCACAAAACCUCAUAUUUGAAAUUUCAAGUUCUUCAAGCUAAUCAUCAAUCUCAACAAUUUAACCAAUCAGGGCAAAGUGAACAAGGAGAAACUGGGCAAAAUUCAAUGUAAACUAGCUCAAAACUCACUCAAAGUUGAUGAAAAACGAAGGGGGGAGAUUGGGGGAGGGUUCGGCGGUGACCGACAACGGUUCUAUGGUGACAGGAGUGCGGAGUUUUGAAUGACGGCAAAGGGGUAGGAGGGUGGAGUCGGCGUCAGUGGAAUGUUUGAAAAAAAUAUGGUUCAAAAAUCGGCUAAGGCUAGAAUAUUUAGAAACCCGUGUCAACUAUUGCAUUGUAGAAGUGUCAAAAAUGCGGUAUGGACAUAGCGCAAUGUUUGACAAAUCAUAGCGCAAUGAUUGAAAGGAUUUCCAGAACUCAAUGUCAACAUUUUUUCUAUAGAUGGUCAAUUAUUGCGCUAUGGGCAUAGCACAAUGCUUGACACAGAUCCAUAGCACAAAGGUUGACAUCCUAUUAUGUGAACUUCCAUAGUUCAUGAAAGAAUCAACACUCUUUGCAUUGACGACUGGGGACAAGAAUGACACUCAAGUAUCACGUUCUAGACUCGAUCUAACUCCUACACAUGCAAAUUGACUCAAAGAAUAUGAAAAAUACUGACUCCAGACAUGGGCUUCCUUCCAUGAAGCGCUCUUUCUUUAACGUCUUUGAGCUAGAUGAUACAAGGACCUCAAUUUAGCAUCUUCAAAGUAAUGAACUUUUACUCCAUCGGUAGGCUUGGUACUGAGAUAUAGCUUGAGACGUUGACCGCUGAAUUUAAUGUUCCUUGGUCCGGAUGUGUGAUCUCCACAAAUCGGUAGGGAAAUGAUUGUGUGACUUCAUAAGGUCCCGACCAUCUUGAUUGUAAUUUUCCCAAAAAUAGUCAGAGCUGGGAGUUGUAGAGCAGCACCUUAUCUCCCUACUUGAAUUCUUUGACCCCUUGAAUAUUAGCAUCGUCGAUUCGUUUCAUCCUUUCCUUAUAUAUACAUGAGCUCUCGUAAGUAUGAAACAUGUGCUCCUCUAGCUCAAGGAGCUAAUAUUUGCAUUCUGAAGCUACGAGACUAUCAUCCAUGUUUAGCAGCUUCAUGGCCCACCAUGCAUUAUGCUCAAGCUCGACCGGUAAAUGAUAAGCCUUUCCAUAAACGAAUCGAUACGGGAAAGUGUAGAUAGGGAUCUUGAAGGCGGUUCGGUAAGCCCAUAGAGCUUCAUCGAGCCAAAUCGACCUGUCCUUAUGAGACUGAUCGACUGUGCUAUCAAGAAUCUGCUUAAGCUCACGAUUCUUCACCUCCACUUGACCGCUUGCAUGUGGAUGGUAAGCGGUCAUCAAUCAAGGAGCUAUGCUAAAUGUUUGGCAAACUCAAUAGAAUUGACCCUGAAAGUGAGUGACUUUAUCGCUAAUGAUAGCAUGAAGGCCGCUGAAACGCAUGAAAACGCAUGUAAUAAACUUUCCCACUGUCAGAACAUAGUUAGUAGACAGCGGUUGCGCCUCUGCCCACUUUGAGACAUAAUCCACUUUGAAAUGUUACAUGUACGUUGGCAGUUGAUUUUGGGCUUUAAUCUGAAUUCUGUGAAUUUUGGAAAUUGGCUGAUCAAUGGACAGUCACAGGCAUGACAGUCAGUCUAUCACGGGAAAGGUUGUCAGACAGACCACGACCGUUGUCAGCAAACAUUCAUGGGCGUGACCACUGGAAGAUCAAGGGCUUGACCAUCAGGAGGUCAUGGUUGUGACCAUCAGUAGGUCACGGGCAUGGUUUCUAUGUGGCCACGGGUAUGGUGGUAAGUUGGACAUGGGCGUGGUGGACUUAUUAUAUAAGGACAGUUGCAACUUACAACUCAGAAUUACUGAAACCUAAGAACUUUGAAUCCCUCUGCAAAUGGCAAUCAAUUUCAGGAGAUGGAGAAAUCCCAUUUGAUCUAAUCCCAAAUCAUUAGGAAAGGUCUAGAAAUCGUUGAGGAUGCUUCCAAAGCUACUCAAUCUUCUUCCUCCUUUCUCAAUCCUUGAUUGGAAAUCCUACGUAGGAAAUUCCUGACACAUUAGGAUUUGGGGUUUUCAGAUUUCAAUCCUAUGAAUUAAUCUCUACGGGUCAGACAGAACAUGAGGCUUGAUCUUGGGAAGGUAGCUUCAUAUUAGACUCUACUAGGAAAGCUAAUCAGAGGUGGGGGGUUAGGAUUUCUUUUCUGCUUUAAGUGUAGAACUGUAAUUAGGAUUGUCAGGAAUCCGAUUAUUAGAUUCUCAGACUGUGUAGUAGCAUAUGAUUUAUUGUACAUGUGUUGUGAUUUGAAGGGCUCUCAAGACUGUGCAAUAGCGUGUGAUCUACUGUACAUGUAUUACGAUUUUUAGAGCCAAGCUCUUAGUAUUGUGCAGUAACGUGUGAUCUACUGUACAUGGGUUGUGAAACAGAGCCAGGCUCUCAGACUAUGUAGUAGCGUGUAAUCUACUGUACAUGCAGUUGUUUAAUUUCGAGCAUAAGCUCAUGGUGAUUAAACUAUGCUUGUGAUUCACAGUUCAUGUUAGGACAGGAUCAUGUUUAGCUAGAUUAGCUCUCGAUAUGCAUUGGUCACCCGCCCAUGGAUUGCGCAAUCCCUUAGGUCAUGUUCAGGCUCAUGUUGGACGUGUCGAGUAUGCCUAUAGAUGCUGCUCACACGGUUUUCAGGAUGGUUUCAUAGUUUGAUCCACCAUGAGGCUAUCUACCAUAGCUAGGGGUGGUUGUUGUCAAGAUGAUGCCUACAACCUGUGAGUAAUGCAUGGGUCGAACCAUGUAGUUCGAUUGGGUCUUCUAGGGGCGUGUUUCACGGUAAUCUUCUAUAUAUGUCCCGAAAGCAAGGAUGGUGGCUAUCUCGGUAAACCACUAGCGCUUGUAGAGGUGAUGAUCCGAGACUUCCUUUGCUUCUUCCAAGAGAAAUAAUUGAUCAUCCAGAAAGAGCUCAUUUAUCUCUGCUUCAGCGAAUCGACCCAGAGAAGGCCCUUCAAGGUGCGAUAGGUGGUUAGCUGCAACGUUCUCUGAUCUCGCCUUGCCCUUAAUAGUCAUGUCAAACUCUUGAAGGAGUAGCACCUAGUGAAUCAAUCUCAAGUUCCCAUCCUGUUUAGCUAUAAGAUACUUAAGAGCAAAAUGGUCGCCGGAAUCUGGGCAGAGGUCGCCAGCGGUAACGGCCUCACUAGAGAAGAAGGGUGACCUCCCCACAAUCAUGAGGAGUUCAGUGACCAGAUCUGCAAAGUCUGAAAGAUAAGUUGCUGUUGUGCAUUUGAAUAUUCUAAAGUCUAGCUUCCGUAGCUCUGAAGUUUUGGAUGGUUUACAGUUAUGGACCUUGGUCAGAUUUUUUAUCAUUUGGAAGUUCUAGAUCAGUUAGUGUAAUGGAGGUCAUUAGAGGACUAGAGUAACAUUUAUGUCCUUAAAAUUUUCAGAUUAUUGCAAAUAAGUAAAUGGAGAAGAACUCGGUCGUUUGAGCUCCAAAUGACGCACGGUUAGAACUUACGGAUUUAUGGCAACGAGAGAAAUCAUGCCAAGUUAGGAUCAAAGGUGUCAGAUCUUCUUAACAGGUGGGGGUUUAGGAUUACAUUCUGCUUAUAAGCUUAGAACUAUAAUAGGAUGUUAGGGAAUCCGAUUAUUGGAUUCUUCAUGUGAUUCAGAGCAAGGGCUCUCAGGAUUGUACAAUAGCGUGUGAUCUACUGUAUAAAUGUUGUGAUGUGAUUCGGAGCAAGUGCUCUCGGACUAUAUAGUAGCGCAUAAUCUACUCUAUAGAUGUUGUGAUGUGCUUUGGAGUGUGGGCUCUUAGGCUGUACAAUAGCGUGUGAUCUACAGUAGAGGCAAUUAUUAUAAUUCGAGCAUAAGCUCUUGGCGUUUGGACUGUGGCAUGUGAUUCACAGUUCAUGUUAGGAUAGGAUAGGCCUAGAUAGACUAGGUCACAAUUAUGAUACGUCGGGCACCCACCCAUGGAUUGCACAAUCCCCCAUGUUAUAAUCGGGCUCAGGCAGGACGUGUUGAGUAUGCAUACUGAUGCUGCUCAUACGGUAUUCAGAGUGGUUUUAUGGUCUGAUCUACCGUGAGGUCAUCCACAUAGCUAGGGGUGGCUGAUGUUAUGUUGAUGCCUACUGGACCAGAUGGUCACAUUACUAGAGUAGUGACUACAUAGAAUUCCAUGUUCUAUUCUUAGUACAGGUCAGUUUCAAUCUCAGUUCUACGCGAGUCCAGAUAGCCACUUAGUGUUUAUCACUAACUCUAUUAGAUAUUAUUUUCUCUGGUGUAUAUGUGUGUUCGGUCACAAGAACUGGAGCUGAUGGUGGGGAGAGAGCUAGUCGGAGUUUUGAUAUCACAUGAUAUAUGUUUUGAUGUAUUUUCAGUACUAGAGUUGCAUCUCCUUUUAUCAUGUUGUGAUUUGGGAUCCGAGAUCCUUGUUGGUCAAUUUUAUCAAAGUAUUUCGGUUCAACUUUUAAUGCUUGUUUUUGCUCAUUUAUUAGUAGUAGAGAGUAGAGGUUGGUUCAGCUUGGAACCCGAUAAGAUUUCUUGAUUGAACCAGUGGUUCGACCAAAACUCUUAGGGUGGGGUUUCAGAGAAAAUGUGAUAGUGAAAUAUACAUUUCCCAAAAAAAUUCAUCUUCCCACCGAUAAGUUUUGGCUAUUUUCGUAUUUUCAUAAUUACCUUUAUUUUAGAUUGUAUGAUUCAAUUCAUUACCAAUUGUCAGAUUAUGUUGUGACAUCAUCAUUUCUAUCAAACGAACAACAUUGGCUCCAUUUAUAGGAUUUUAUCUAUUGCAUAUAAGACUAUUGGAUCCAUUUUGAUUUGUAAAAGUGGGUCCUACUUCCAUCUCAUUUUGUUUUGAAAUUUUGCAUACUUCACUUUGAAAGGCUUCUCAUUAAUGCAAUUCAAAAACAUUUGCAAAAGUGGACUUACAUGAAUAAAAUGAUCAUUUCUUAUAUAUUAUUUUAUUAGCAAAUAAUGAUAUGAGAAGGCCCAAUCCAUUGGGUCUUGAUCAGAAUGGCACAACCUAUUAAAAAUACCUAUUUUGGCAUAACAUAAUUAUAAUUUUACAAAAUAAAAUAUUUAAUUGACUUUUUAAAACUCAAUACAAAAAACUAAAAAAAUAUCAAAGUUCAUCAUAUUCUUCUCCCACCACCAUCCUAUCUCCACUAUCUUCUUAUCAUCCCCAUCAUCCAUUGCUAAACCCAACAAUUACUUUCUCUAAAUCUAUCACUUACCAAAUCCAAAAUCAUAUUCAUUUGUACACACAACCAAGUAUGCAAAUUUUAGAUAUGAUUUGUGUUGGUUUUUUAGAUCUGAUUUUGUCGAUCUCGAAGGUGAAGAUGAUUGACGACGGGGAAGGGGACUCUAAUACCCAAAUAUGCUACUGGAGAAUAAUCCAUCUUUCCAGACUAUUGCAAUUCAUACCGCUCCUUGAAUACUUACAGAGAAAGACGGCGCAUCGAGCUCAAAAGGAGAGGGUAGCGAGCAAUCGAAGGAGAGUAGAAAAAGCCGUUGCAAGCAAAAGAGAAAUCGACCACCAGAUCUCCUAGGAUUCCUCAUCUGAGGAAGCCAUCAAGAGAUUUUUUCCUAUAAGUCAGUUCAGCUACUAAAGCUACAAGUGGUGAUGAUGAAUAAGCUUCCAUAAGUGGUUCGCUGGGUAUCUCUACUUUGACCUCCUUCAUGGGAGCUCCGUCGUCGCCGCUGGCGACCCUAAAAAAGAACAUGCAUUUAAACGCGUUUACACACUAAACUAAAAAGGAGAAUGAAAGACUAUAAUUGGAAUUUCAACAACAAGAGAAAGUUAACUUCUUUUUUCUAAUCCACCGUCGGGAGGAGCAGCAGCAAGCUUCGCCCGUCUUCUUCCCUUUUGGGAUUUUUUUGAAUUAAUUAAGAAUUUUAUUAAUUAGAAGUUUAAAAUUAUAUGAUGUGGAGCCUAUAUUGAAGUCAAGUGGGAGGUACGUCAGGGGUGUUAAGUUUGACUGUUAAGUUGAUGGUCAAAUUUCAAAUAUGUGCCACAAUAAGUAUUUCUAAUAGGUUAUGCCAUUCUGGGUUUAGACCCAAUAGGUUGGGCCUCCUUAGAUCAUUAUUCAUUUUAUUAACUACAUAUAUGUUAUAAAAAUGUAUAAGUGACAAGUGGGUCUCAAAUGAUUAAAAAAUAUAAAUGAAAAAAUGGGCCACAAGUGAGAUUAUCACUUUGACUUGGAACGAGUACAAAUUUGCACUUAAAAUGAUCCUUUCCCAUCAAUAAUAUUCUCAUUUAAAUUUAAAAAUUGCCACAUAGGCUCCAUGUUACUUAACAAGUAGGGAAAAUCUCAGUGAUAAGAUGCUAUAAUAACAAAUAAUCUUGAGGCCAAAUCCAAUAACUGAGCAUGCCUUCUACAUGUCGGACUCCACCAUAUAAACACGGCCCACGUUAUAAUUGAUUCAUUAAAAAAAAGAAACAAUUUGAUGAAUUGAUGAAAGAAGCGAAAGGCAAAAGAUGGAAAUUGUCGUUUCUCUUCCUAAAACUAGGGUUUUGUUUCUCUCACUAAAAUUAGGGUAUCUCUUCGUCAUGAAGACUUCCUACACCCCCAUCGCCAUCAUGCUCAAGCACAAACCUACUCCUAUCAUCAACAAACCCAUCCCACCUACCGAUGUUGUCAUCAAAACAAGACCGACCCUUACUGCACCCAUGGCCUCCCUAUCGUUGAAGGAGAGUCAUGGCUCGGAGGACCUGACCGGAAUGACAUGGCUGACGAUUGGAUACCAGAGCUGCAGCAAUCUGGAAAGCCCCACAAAGAUUCUCCGCCGACAAAGACCAGCAGGUCAACACUAAGGAGAGGCGGUGUUCCUCCGAUCUUCGAGCUACAGGGGAGCGAGACGACUCUACCCCAUACACCAUAGUGACAUCGCCGGUGUGGACAUCCGAUCAUUCCAUUCAAAGCUCAUGAAGAUCGGCUACACUUGUGUUUGGCUUUCUUUAUUUUUGUUUAGUACUCUCUUUUUAGACAUUUGGUUGAUUUUCAGUCGUACGUUGCACUUCAUUUGUUUCCUUCCUUGAGUCGGGGUAUAGUUUUGUUAAUUUUUUUGUUUAUUUCGUUGCAUCUAAAACCGUUGAUGGUCGAAGAGAUUAAAACUGUAAAUAAAAUAUUCAAUUACCUACUUUCCCCUUACAUCUUUUCUAAAAAACAACUCUCAAUUGCAUUUCUCAUGGUCAAUGUUAUAUCACGCCUCCCUCUAUAAAGAAAUUAUAUUUUGUAAAAAAAAAAAGCGAAAGGCAAAAGAUAUCGCGAGACCUAGUUCUAUAUAAACCCAUUCCAUUCGCAGGUUACGAGCGGCCGUCAUCGCUGUCACAGGGCCAGAUAUGGGAAGCGCUAAAGCUGGCAAACCCUCAAAGAAGUCUCUCAGAAACCCUAAUCCGCUUCGCAUUACCCAUAGGAAGAUUACGAAGCACAAACGGCAAGACAUUGCUGUUGAUACAGUUCCCACCGCCCUGAAGUAGAAACACAACCUCAUAUCGGAGAAGAGGAGCCCCUUCCUUCAGCUUCCCAGCAACUCAGCUUUUUCCUCAGCAAGUUCCAGUCAGCUAAUGGUCUUCAAGGUUAGUCUCUACCGCUGGAGCUCCACAAUAUUGUAUCCCAUGACAUCUCUAUUUGGUUGCUGGACAGAGGGAUUAUUAACAAUUUGUGUAUUGUAUUUGCAGAAACAUCCUUUAUUCAGUUAUUUUGAGAGCUGCCUCAGGAUGUUGAGGGCCUAGGCCAGCAUUUGAAGACUGCUUUCGGAAAGUCAUGGAAAGAAGAACGCUGUGAUCGAAAGCUCGUGGAUAGGUAAACUGAACCAGAGAGUCCUGCUGCUCUUUUCAUUUCUACAUCUGCAUUGAGAGCAAUAGAACUUUUAAGGUAUAGAUUCUCUCAGUUCUUGUUAAUGAUCUUUGUUUUGCUCGAUUUAAUCAGGGUUUGGGCUUGAUUCAAUCUUCUUCUUUUAGGGGUGUGCGUUCACUGAGCGUUCACUGACGAAAGAAUGCCAUGCUGCAAAGCUCUUCUCUAAGCACAUGAAGGUUGAAGAACAUGUGAUAUCCUUUCCCUUUUGUCACUUGUUGUUCCUAUUACAUCGUUAAACAAAAUACUAUCUCUUUAUGUUUCGAGGUGUUGUCAUUUGUUUUGGAUAUCAUUCAGUUCCUUUUAUUAUUACUGCUGCUCGAGUUACGAACAUCUGAGGAAAUAGCAAUGCUUAGGAUGUUAUUGUCCACUUCACUGUCUCGAGACACCGACAUUGUCUUUAGUUAUUAUUUAUGGGUCCAACAAGUUAUGACUUGAACCAUGGUCACAUGGAACAAAAUUAAUUUAUAAAUUCGGACUUCUGUUUCAUCAGUGACAUUUUCACUCUUCGUCAUCAUAUACAUUUGGUGUUUGUUUGUUUUUGGUAAAAGGAUUUGAUAUUACCAGUUAUAAAGAUCAAAGGGCAGUAGCAGUGCAGGAUAAGCUUUUUUCACAUCAGUCUGCUUCUAGUUCAGUAUCUUAGUUUCAAUGAUUUAUGGCUGGAAGCAUGGAGCAGUAUGGAAUUUUUGCAAACAAUUGUUGGAUUAGGAAUUUCAUACUUCUUUUCACUGCAUUUUGAUGUUGGGAUAUGAUGAGUUACACGGAUCAAAUGCUCUAGCAGUGCUGAAUAUGUUUUUUGCACGUCAGUCUGAUCCCAACUUACCGUAUUUUUACUGCCCCUACCUUUAAAUGCAUGUCCGAGUUCUAACAAUAGAUGACUUGAGACAUGGAGCCUAUGAAUGGGGGUUCUCUGUUUGAUUUUAUGACAUUUUACAAUAAUUGUCACAAAUUUUUUUGACAUUGGAUAUGAUGAUGAGUUAGAAUCAAAGGCACUAGAGAUGCUGAAUAUGAUUUUUUGCACGUCAGUCUGAUCCCAGCCUUUCGAUUUCUGAUUACUGGAAUUUAAAAUUUUACUUUGUUUUCGUCAUUUUGACAUUGGGAUAUGAUGAUGAGAUGUAGAUCAAAGGCAUUAGCGGUGCUGAAUGUUUAUUUUGCACGUCAGUCUGAUCCCAGCUCACUGUUCCGAGAUUGUGCUGCCUUCUUGCAUUUCCUAGUUAAAAAAAUGUACUCCUUGGACAUGGAUCUAAACGAACUUCAAAAUAUGAAUGAUUAAGAUUUCGUGAUCAGUGUCAUUCAUAGUUUAUGAUCACUAAUUUAAAUCUCGUGGCAUAUCUUGCAGGGUGUUUAUAGCCAAUUAGAUGCCACACUCACUGAAAGCUUAACUUACGAUUUAGGUUCUGGUUGUGUAUCCCCCCCCCUGUCCACCGCCUUUAACCUUGUACUUCUAAGCAAUUGAUUGUAUUUCCUGAAUAAUGGCUACAUAUUUCGUAAUUGUUCAUGCUCUGCUGAUUAUAUUUUUGCACGUCUCUGUUCCUAAUAAAACUGCACACUAUUUUACGAAAAAAGACGUGCACGCUAAUAUCGUACACCAAUGUAAUAUAACACUAUUAACAACAAAAAGUUCUUAGUACGGGUUCAAUGUCAUCAUGCAACAUCCAUGAUGCCGUUCCUUAGUCUCUCUACGUGACUCUGUGUUGCAUUUGGUAAACUAUUUCUUAAACUUCUGGCUCCGUUUACUGCAGGUCACUUUCUUCAAGAAUCGUGUCAAUAUUGCCAGCGGCACACCAAACAGGUUAGUCACCAGUCAUUUCAUCUCGAUAUUGAUGUUACAAUGGGUCGUUUGGAUGAGGUAUUUGAAAGUGGUAUUUUGGCUCAAGUAACUCAAACUAAAGUUAUAACUGAGUUAUUUGGGCCAAAACACUUCGUUUUCCAUCCGAAAUAAAAGUCGUUAUAUUUCAUAACUGUGAUAUUUGAAAUAAUUAUGGAUGUGAUAUUUGAAAUAACUCAAUUUAAAACCAUAACUCAAAAUGAUAGCUAAACGAAUAAUUCUUAUCCCCCAAAUUCUUACAACUGAUCCAAACGAUUAAUGUUUACUUGCUCAUCCUUUUCGUUCUAGCUGAAUAUUUGCAUUUCCGAAAUAAUGCGCCCCACAUGAGUUCGGUAUACAUUGGUGAUUGCUUUUGCAAGUUUUCCGUGCAUGAAUUGUUGUGGUAUUCAUCAGAAAAUUACCAAUAGGAAAUAGUUAAGAGGUCGUAGAAAAUGCAUCGGGAGUGUCAUUUUAUAUUGUAGGGGCAAAAAUUGAUUUUGAUGAAUUUGAACUUUCUUGACUAGAUUCUUGAUAAAAAAAACUAUCUUGACUAGGUUGAAGAAGUUGAUAGAUAUAAAAGCAAUGGGGCUCUCGCGGUUUUAAAGUUAUCGUGCUAGAUGUCCACCAUGAUGUAAAGGGUUAUUCCUUGCUCACACUUCCACAAGGGGGAGAUAUAGAGAGAAUGUCCGGUCUCUUUUCAACACAGCGAGGAGCAUAGUCGAUUUUGUCAUGUGAAGAGUUGCUGUUGUACAAGUGUUAGUUUGUUAUUUUGACAGGACACUUUUUCAAUUAUUCAAAACUUAUAUUCUAGCUAAGCUAAGGGUAAAUAUCCAUUUUGUAAUUUCACUUGUUGCUGCUUCUACCAAGAGACAGCACACAAGGAAUUAUACUCAUCGGCUUCCUGGCCGCAAUUGAGUUAAAUCUUCUUUUCGGCCCCUAGCGUUUAAAAUAAAAUAAAUCUUUCACCGGCUACCUUCAAAAUCCUCUGUUUAUCUUUCCUUUGAUCUUAUCAAAUUUUUAUAGUGACAAAGUUUGUGAAAUUACUUAAUAAAAAAAAGAAAAAAUUAUUAAACAAUUGCUAAUAUUUAGGCCCGACAUUCGAUAUAGCACAUGUUUUUUAUAAUAUUUUUUUUUGCCCAAAUUUCAAAUUAUGUUAAUUCCUUUAAGUUAAAAUUAACGGAUUGGUGACAAAUGCUGACAAGGCAAACAAUGUGUCUGAUGUGGAUGGAUGAAAAGAAGUCAAUCGGAAAUAAAUACACAGUCAACAUACAGUUAAAAAAUUUUAUAACAAAAACCACCCACAUUCCUUAUCCUCUUCGUCGACCAGCCUUUUAUCACCCACCUGUCACCUCCCUUCUAAAUUAAUUUUCAUCAGAUGGGGAGAAAGAGUGGAAGAAGAAGAAGAAGAAAGAAAGAUGGAGCAAGGUGCAUUUGAUUUGAAUCCCGACAAUGUCGACAACAAUCUUGUAUCUAAAUUCUUUGUCGAUUUGAAUUUCGAUGAUGCCAACAACAACCUCAUUCUUGAACUCUCCGUCGAUUUGAAUCCCGACGAUCCCAUCAACAACACCAUUCCUGAACUCUUCGACAAUUUGAAUCCCGACGAUGCUGAUAACAACCUCAUACCUGAAUUCUCCGUUGAUUGAAUCUCAAUGAUGCCAACAACGACUCUCUAUCGUUGUCGAUGAAAUGCCCAAGCUUGUGGAGAGAUGGAUACAGGGAGUAGUAGCAGGUACAUGUCCAAAUAUGGAUGUUGAGAAAUCCUCCUCGGCUGUCGAUUUCGAAUGGUCCCCACGUUUCAAAUUGAUUUUAGUGUUCUUGCUGGGAGUAGGUUUGCACGCGGCUGAGAUUGGGUUUAUCUGUUUGUUGCAAAUGAAUGAAUUGAAUUGGUUGGUUUUUUAUUGGGGGUGGGUUUUGCAAGCAAGUUGAGUUGUUUGAUUGGUUUGAAGUUUUUUUUGUCUUGAUUGGGUUUUGUAAAAAAUGCUAGCAGAAUACUGACAAUGGAGGAGAAGGUGGAGGAAGGAAAAAGAAGGUGGAGGAGAUGAAUGAUUUUUUUGGUAGCUGAGUUAUUAUUAUUUAAUGAAAGGAGGUAAAUAAAAUUUACCUAACUAAGCUGACGUGACCAGUGAUUGUUAUGUGGCGUCGGACAUGGUAUCUUGAUGAUUUUCUUCUUACGGCGUUUCGUGUUUGGUUAACUAUAACGGUCAACGACAAAGUCAACUGAUUUUCGUUAGUGUGAUUUGAAUUUUGUCAGAAAAAAAUGUAUUUCGGAAAACAUGUGCCAGAUCAUUUGUCGGGUUAAAACAUUGCCAAUUGUGUUAGCUAAUUUUUCCUAAAAUAAGUUAGUGACAUUUUAUCAAGUCGAUCUACACUACAGGAAACUAGAUGUUUAACAACAUCAUUUUUUCUUGUUGACGACAACCAUUUCCUGUUGUUAUGUAUCAUAACGGCGGCUUUGAUUGCGCUAUUAAGAUUGCCAAUGCAAAGAGAUCCUACCAGCGAAAUAUUGGCCGCGGUUAAGUGGGGAAGCGUAACAGCGAAUAGCUGGCCGCUGUUAGGUUGCAUCCUAAUAGCGAAAUAUGACCGAUGUUAGACGAAAUUCUAAUAGUGGCAUUGUGUCCGUUGUAAGGAUUUCGCCUAACAGCAACUACAUAUCCUCAUAGUUUUCUUAUUAUUUUAUUUUUUUCGUUUGGCUAUUUUCCAUAUAUAUCCAACUUGUUCAAGUAAUUUUUUCGAUAGGUAGAUAGAAAUACAAAUUUGGGAAACACUUUGCUAAAUAUAAAACUAGUCAUUUUGAUUAAAUAUUUGAUUGUUAGGACACAUACUAAUUCCUUGGCUUAAACUACACCAUCCUUCUAAAGUAACUACUUGAUUCAUAGUUGUUCAUCCAACAUGUACAAUCCACUAAACAUAGACUACUCCUCUUGGUCGUAAUCAAGCUCAUCGUCCCUCUCAUUUGUUUCCAUCAUAGUGCUCGUUCACAUUUGUUUGCAUCAAAUGGCUGCCAUCAUACAUUUGGAUUUAGAACAUCUGCCUCAUCUCCUCCAAAUCAUGAGAUAAGCCAACUUGAGAGUUGGCAAGAUGAGCUAUACACCUACAAUACACCAAAUAAAAGUUAGUUUUUUUAUCCAAAAAAAUUUGCAUGACCAAUUCGAAUUCACGGUUUAACUUAUACUCUUUGAUCUACAAAAUGAACAAACGAUACUAGAUUUGGAAGGACAAGUUUCGACAGCUACAAUGAAUCAAGGAAACCUUUUACAUCUACAUUAUCAAAACAUAAUUGCAGAAUUAAAAGUAUAAACCAUGAGUAAGGUUGAAUGAUAAAAUUUUCACUAUUUAGAGGUGUCGGUUAAAAUGUGCAAAUUGGAUAAUAAAUUUGCAUGGGAAGGAUGAUUAUGUAGAUUACGUAAUAAACUAACAAAUACAUAUAUACUUAUGAUUUGAAUGGGACUUGUAAGUUAAAAUUGGAGGCGCCCCUCUUAAUUUGUACCUAUUGUAUGUUCACUAACCACCCAUAAUAAAAACAAGCAAGAAAAAUUGGAUUUGGUGGAUCACUCGAUGAAGAAACAAGAUUCGAAACUAGCCCUCAUAACUUGAUUAGGUGAAGUUUCUACCUAUAACAGUCCAACUUAGUGGUAGAAUUAAUUUAGGAUUAAUGCUGAAAAAUACAAAUACUUAUUCAUUUUGCUUUCACUCUAAAUCCUAAAUGGCGCACCACUGUUCCUGACUUCUCUUUUUUGUUCUUCGAACGUAUACGAUAUGCCCUCGCCAUAGCAUCCUCCUUGCUAACCCCAUGUUAGUAUUUGGUUCCUUCAUAAACUGUUUGACUUCAACCUAUAUUCAAUCUCAAAAUCUUAAAUAUAUUAGAAUUGCAUCUUAUCAACAAAAGGUCAAAACACAAUAAAAUUAUAUGCAACUUACAUAAAAGUCUCAAGUAACAUAUGUUUCAUCUUCUCUUUCAUAACACUUGAAAAAGAACUCAGAUCUUCUUACUUCUUUUCCUUUCGCUUUCUUCUACAUUAUACGUUCUACAAUCAAUACAAAUUAACUUCUCAUGACUUUUGGAACAUAAUAUAAAGACGAUUGAUGAGAUGCUUACUUACCAUCUCUUCACGAAUUAUAUUGAAAGGUUUUGACCCUUUCGUAUGAUAGAUGUCUUGAUUAGAACGAUACCUUGUUUCUUUGCAGAUGCAGUCUAUAAAACUGCUAGUAAUUGACAAAUGACAAUAAUAAAUAUCAUUAUAUCAAAUAUAAGUACAAAUGUAAAACUUACUAGAGUUGGCUUCCCCUCCUAUAUCUGCAAAACAUAUCCCACUCACGUUCAUCAAUAUUUGGUGGUUUCCUGUCUAAGUUGAGCUGAAGACCUUGAGUAGCAUCGAUAUUUGGUGGUUUCCUAUCACGUUCAUCGAUACUAAUCAAUUUUCUUUGGAUAUGACUAAUGUAAUGAAGAAGAUAGAAGAGAUUAAAUCUAAAACCCUUAUGAUUACCCUGCAUUCAUAAAGACUGCAAUGCAAUAUGUACAGAGAGGCGUGGACACAUAGCAAAGUCCUUACAAUUUUGACAAUUACCAUCCAAUACAAUUUUGUAAGCUACAGCUAACAUUCAUGAGCUAAUAAGUUUUGUCAGGUCGGUUACGAAAGAAAACACACUUAACUUCAUAAACAAUAAUAAAUUAUGAAAACCCCCAAAUCAAAGUUAGGGCUCAUCUAAAUCAUUAACAAAUCAUACAAACUGAUUUCAAUCUCAAAAUUAAACUUAGACCCAGCACUAUAAAUAAGAUGUCUAACCUAAAGCUAGAACAAAACACUUCCAAUUCACUAAACGGAAAACAUUUCAAAGAUCUAGAUUUUACUAACCUUUCAAUUUUCUUGCUAACACAAGAUGACUGAUUGAGAUGAUGGACAGGAACCAAAAUGAGCCGCAGCUGGAAGGCCGGAGCAAGCGACGCCGGCACGAAGAAGAAAAACGCCAGCGAACGGCCGUUGGUGAAGAUACUAUCUGGCUGUGUCCUUUGUUCAAUUUGGGGAAAGUUGGGUUUUUACGUGGUGUUGGGGGGUUAUAUGUAUUUGGAGUUUCGUUUAUAUUAAUAUAAUGAAGAAUUAAGUCUCAUUUUGUUUGGGGCUUUAAAUUAAUAACCCAACGUCGGCUUGAUUCUCUACAUAGCCGCUGAUAGGAUUACUCUUAGCAGCUGCCAUCUAAAUAAGAGCCACUGUUAAGUUGUUGUAUUCCAUCAUAUUUUUUAAUUAUUAUCCUAACAUCGGCCAAUAUUAAUCAGGGCCGAUGUUAGGUAGUAAUAACGUAUCAGUAGCCUUCCAUUUAUUGUUAGGAUAUUGACCUAACAUUGAGACCAUGUCCGUUGUUAAAUUUUGUAUGUUAAAAUAUCCUAACUGCAGGUCUAUGUGGCUACAGUUAAAUUGGCAAUAUUAGGUAGUCAGUUUCUUGUAAUGCUACCUUGUUUAUCAUAGAAAAUUUGUUAUGACAAACGUGAUUGUUGUUGUUACAUAACAACACUCUAAUUUUCCAUCUAUUUUUAAUUUUAAAAAUUUGACAGUCUUAAUUUGUUGAAUAUUUUUAAUCUUUUUUACAUUUUUAUCUCUCAUAAAUAUGUCCUAAUUUUUAGUUAAAGAAUCCUCAUUCAAUUUCUAUUUCUAUUUCUAUUUUUUUACCUAUAUUUAAUUAAGUUAAUAACUUAAUAUUUCCUUAAUUGCUUUUUACAGGUUGUCAACGGAGUUCUGGUACUCCCAACAAGUGAGAAGAACGAUCAGAUUAGUAACAGAGCACAAACAAAGGUACAAAAUAAAUUACCAUAUCACAGUCUCAGGUAUAUAACUCCAUACAAUAGCACAUUCAUGGGUACAUAACUAGACAAAAAUUAAUCAAAAAUUGAUACUUCAAUACACGAGGUAUAAAAUGCAGUACCAUAUCACAAACCCCUUUUUUUUUUUUUUUUUUUUUUUUUUUUUUUUUUUUUUUUUUUUUUUUUUUUUUUUUUUUUUUUUUUUUUUUUUUUUUUUUUUUUUUUUUUUUUUUUUUUUUUUUUUUUUUUUUUUUUUUUUUUUUUUUUUUUUUUUUUUUUUUUUUUUUUUUUUUUUUUUUUUUUUUUUUUUUUUUUUUUAUUUUUUUUCUUUUUUUUUUAUUGUCUGUUUUUUUCUUUUAUCCUGUUUUUCUUCCUUUUCAAGAUCUUGAAAAGAGAGAGAAAAUGAGAGAGAGAGAAUGAGAAAGAGAAAACGAGGGAAAGAGAAUGAGAGCAAGAGAGAGAGAGAGGAGGAGAAAUUUUUGGAGUUUUUUUAUUUUUAGUGGCUUUGAUAUUGAAAAUACUAUAUAAAGAAUUUUAGAUGAAAUCAGUCAGUUGAUACAAUUAUUGUUGUUAUGUGCUAUUAUCGUAUGAUAAGCGGGUGGGGCUUUUCUUGUUUUCGUAAACAUCAAGAUUUUAUUGGUUGGGUCUAUGAUUCCAGCCUACAUGAUACUCAAAAGGGCCCUGGUUCAUCUGGAAAUGAAAAGUGCUUUAUGAACGUUUGGAUUGGUGCUUCCUUGACUCGGUUUGGUAACUUCAAUUUCUACCCACCUAUAUCGUGUUAAGUCGGAUCACCGACCUAUUUUCAUGGUUGCGACCAAGCUCAAGAAGUCAAAUCUUCCUCAUACCUUUCGCUUUAUGGCUUCAUGGUUGUCACAUGUUGAGUUUAAGCCUUUUUUUGUCGGAAUGGAAUCGGUCUUUUACCUUUAUUCAUCAGAUGUCCAUUCGAGCUACCAAACUGAAAAAAUGAAAUAAGGAAAUUUUUGGCAACAUCCAAACGAAUAGAAGGAGCUUAUCUUUAAACUUGCUGAUGUUUAAGCUCUCGCAGCUCCUCUACUCAUUCAAGACACCACAAUGGACAUUGCAAGUGACCGGAAUACUCAUUUUUUUCACGUAUCCACCUUCCGUAGGCGUGCUCGGAACCACAUUAUUAAGUGAAGGAUGACUGUGGGGUGUGUAUUCAUUAGGUUUGGGAGUCGGUUAAUUUGGUUAAUAACCAUCGGUUAAUGGUCGGGAAGCGCUUUGAUGAUUGAAAUUAAUUAACCAAAUUAACCGACCGAGCAAAAGCCACGGUUAAUCUUACCGACCGAUAACCGACCAAUCAGUUAAAUGAUCGAUUAUUAACAGACUGACUCUCGGUUAACCGUUGUAACCGGCUCUGACCAAUUUAACUCUCUUCUCAUAUUGCAACAAGAUUCUAGGCUCUGGCUCUAGAUCCGUCGUCGAUUCAAGCCUUGGAGACCAUAGCUUCUCUUCUGGAAACAAUCCGGUGCUCUACAACUUGAUCCUUCGGGACUGGAAGCUUUCCGAGACGGCGUUGUUGCGGAUCAGUAAGGAGAGGAGGAAGCUUCAAGCCUAUGGUGUUGCAGAUCGAAGAAUUGAGAGAGUGGAGGAGGAGAGGAUUGGCCGUGGCGACGAAGGAAGCAUGUGGUGUUGCAGAUCGAAGAAUCGAGAGAGUGGAGGAGGAGAGGAGCGCUUGCGGUGACUCGUCGUGGUCGUCGUCGUGACUGCCGGCGAGAUGCUGAAAUUGAAUCGCUUGGAUUGAUAGAGUUGUCGAGAUGGAUUGAUGGAGUUGUCGAGAUGGAUUGAUGGAGAUGGCUCGGAGUUAACCUAAUUUCAGAAUGAGAGGUUGUGAUGGAGUGGGAGGCUGGGAGGGGAGGGAGCGAUUCUGCGAUUGUGGUGAGCAAAGCUUGAUUUCCUAAUUGGGGACCUUGGUUUUUUUAAUUACCGGUUAACGUUGGUUAACUCGAGUUAACCAACGAUUUUACCCUGCUCCAACAAGUACUCCCAACUGUUCCCCGACCGACCCCUACCUCGGUUAAACCGACACUCUAACCGAGUCGAUCAGUUCAUCUGUUUAACCUAUUAACCGAGACUGAUGGCCCACCCUUAGUAUUCAUCCAGCUUGUUGCUGCAAUUAGUGUCGUAUUGAUAUGGUUGAGAGAGGAUAAAAUAUGCUUGAUUUCAAGUUCUCCAACUUGAAAGGUUUAGCUGUUAAAAAUGUAGAGGUCAUGACUGAGUACUGAUUUCCAGCAAGGAGAAGUUGGAUAUUUGCUUGCGAUAAAAAAGAAUUUGGACAGUCUAUCUUAGGCACAAAAUCUAACGGAUGAGAUGGCAACUUUACUUCAGGGGCCUAUUGGUCAUUUUAAAAUUUUCUUGUUUUUCAGUUUAUUUUUCCAUUCUGUUUAAUAUUGGUUCAAGUAAAAUGAUUUCUUGUAAAUUGGGUCUAUUGAGUAACGUGGGUGGGUAGACUUUAUUGCUCCCAUCGAGCUUGACGUGAUAUUUUCUUCUUCGUUUCUUUAACAUGCAUAAAUUGUAUAUAAUACGAAAGGUUGGAAAUAUAUGUGAAGCUCGAGGUUUAUUAUAUAUGUUUCGAGGUUUAUUAUAUAUGUUGAACCUUUUUGCCAAUUGGUUAUUUUUAUCAUGUAGUGCCUUAUCAAGUAAAGGGAAUGGUUGUUUUUAUCUACUGUCACUAGCCAACUUUCUUUCUCAUGUGAUCAAUUAUUUGAUCACGCAUGAAUGACUACAGUACACAAAAGAUAGAAAUAUUAUAAAAACAAAAAACAAAUAUUAAAAAAAAAUACCUAAAAAGCAGGUACAUAACAACAAAAACAAUAACCGUAAAUAUCAAGUACAUGAAAGCGGAUGCUCAAAAUAAGCACGCACACAUUAAAAACUUUGGUACAUACAAGGCAAGAAAAUCGAGAACAUAUUGGAACUCGAGUACCGGAAUUGGUACGGUAUUAAGUACAACGUGAAGAAAUAUCAAGUACAUUAAAAAGCGAGUAUAUAACAAUAGAAAUAAGUACACGAAAACAACUCAGAGAAAUGAUAAUUUGAUUGCCAAAAUUGAGUAUGAUAAAGUAAAAUGCAAGCACGUAGUACAUGAAACAAAUAUGAGUAAGAGUACAUAAAUUUUUUAGUACAAUACAAGACAAAAACUCAAAUACAUAUAAAAACUGGACACUAAAAAAAAUAAUUAAUUAUUCACAAUUUUAAAUAAUAAUAGUCACGAUUUUUAUCAUGAUUAACAGAAGCUAGUCACGAAAAUAAAUCCGUAACUAACCUAACCGAUGCUAGAUGAACUUGUCACGAAUCUGAAUAACCUGUAACUAAGUUGUCACCGAAAUUUUCCGUGACCAACUCAUCACGGAAGAAACCGUGAACAUAUGUGUUUUUGUUUUUGUUUUUUAAAUUAGUGGCACGGAGCCAUAUGCUGUGAUAAUUGAUUUAUUAAUAAAUUAAUCCCACAUCUCCGUGGCUACUAUAUCACCAGAAUUUCCAGAUUCCGGCAACCACAAUUUCCAGAAUCCGGCAAUAAGAUAGAGUUGAUAAUUGCUUUUUUAUUAGAGUAAAAUGUUCUACAUCUAUACAUUAUGAUACCCAUAUCAAAAUUCCAGAAUCCCAAAAUUGAACAUAACGUCAACGAAAGGCACCAUGCAACAAUGGUGACACUAAGGGUUACAACAACCAGCAAAACCGAAACACAGACUGGAAAUGCUACCAAGAGAAGGAUGAGACUAGAUGAUGAGAUUGAGAUUGAGAGAAGAAAAAUGAUAGUAAGAAAUUUUGUUUUCGAGAGAGAUCAAAUGAAGAUGAGAUCUACUUCUAAUUUAAUAUAAUGGAAAUGGAGAUAUGGUUGUUUAAUGGCAAAGAGAGAAGAAAGGAAUAGCCCAUUAAACGAGGAUAGAGUCUGCAUCAUUUCUUUUUUCGACCUUUUCCCACUAAAAUGCUAAUUUUAAAAUUAUAAAUAAAAGUUGGUCACGGUUCCAACAUUUACCGUGAGUAGUUGGUCGCGGUAUUCAACAAUCCAUGACUAGUUAUGGAUUUUUUUUUAUCUAUAAGUAGUUAGUCAUGGUUUUUAAAGCCGUGAUUAAUAAAUCGUGAUUAAUCGUUGAUUUUUUUUGUAGUGCGAGUAUGAGUAUUGAGUAAAACGUCAUGUACAAAAACAAGUACAUCAAAAGCGAGUACAUAAUUAUCAAAACAAGUACUAAAACGAGAGGAAAAGUACAUAAAAAGCGAGUAUAUAAUAAUAGAAACAAGUGCAGUAAAAAUCAAGUGCAUGAAAGGAAAACGAAACUCAAACUAAACACUAAUACAAAAAAAACUUUAGUACGCAAAUAAGUAAAUACAAGAAAAUUAACAUACACAAACGAAUACAUAAGAGUAUAGUGUUUAAACAAAGCGAUUAUACGGAUCAAUACGAUGUUGAGUACAAAACAACAACUUGAGGCUUUAUCCCUCAUUUUUAGAUGAUUUUGUACUAAGUUCUUAUAUGUAUUAGUUUUUAUUAAUGUAAUCCCUCGUGUACUUUGUCUUUGGAUUUAUUUUUAUGCCAUAUCUAUUUAUUUACGCAUUUGUGUAUACUUAUAUUUUUAGAACUUUAUACUCAAAUCAAUUAAUCAAACAAUAAAACUAUUUUCUCUUUACACGAACCAACAUAAUAACCCAUCACCCCAUACAGGGUUGUGAAGGAGGUGCAGUGACCAGAAUUUUCUAGUUGUUGCUUUUCUAUAGUUUGAUAAGGGUAAGCAUCUUGUUCUAGAAUAUAUGUUGUUAGGUUAUAACAAUGCAUCUAGUUGAGCAUGAUUCUUUGGUCAAGUGUUACUGGGAUUCUUUUUGUUCCACAUCAAUGCUCGGAGGUCGAAGAGGCAACGAGGGUGACGAAGAAAUCGGCAUCACCACGUGAGAGAAGAUGAAGAAGAGGUCAGAGAGUGGAGCCGGUGGAAAAGAUAUACUAGAAGAGGUACUUAAAGUUACUUGUACGACAAAACUGCCCUUAUUCAAUUGGACAACCCCUAGAUUAAAAUUUAAAAAUGAACGGACGCGAUUCGUUUGCGGCCAGCAAACACAUAAUAUCAUGGCUGCCUAUCCGGACUCGUCAUAACUGGCGUCAACAUUACGUAGUGUUGUCAAAAAUUAAAAAGGGGAAUAUAUAAUAAUAAUAAUAACAGACGUAAUCUUGUGUAUAUAAUGAUAUUAAAACGUUUUUCAAUCGACAAAGCCAAGUCUGCGGGAGGAACAGCUAAUGGACGAACAGCCUAAGCAUAAGCCGCCUUCUUCGUAUUCUUCAGAUUCUCUGAAUCUCUACCCUUUUUUUUUGUUACGCGGAUUCCCUUCCCUCGUCUGCAAACAAAAAGCUCUUCGUUGACUUUUUAGCAGGCUUUUUUAAAAAACCUUAAUUGAAAAAAUUUGUACAUGGUUGUUGCCUUUGUUGGCGUCAGCAUGACCCAAUGCUGUUGUCAUGUUCAUGAUUGCUCCAACUCACCUGGCUGCGCAUCUGCCUUCUGACCUGACCUGCCCUCCUCCUUUUUUUUAAAUUAUGUUUCCCCAAAAUUAAAUUUAAAUCGUUACAAAAUUGGUCUCUCCUUCUCCUAUAUAUAACGUGGAAGAGCUCCUGCCAAAAAAGUCAUUCAAACUCAAAGCAGAUAAAUUAUCAAAAUAAAAAAGAAAACCCCAGUGCUCUGCCUGCCGUUAAGAAAUUAGUUUAUUGGGUUUGUUGUGUUUAUGAAAGCUGUGUUCCAGAGACUGAUAUCGUCAAGCACCCAGAUUGGCUGUAGGAAGAAAGUUGCAUCUUUUCCAUUAAUCAGAAGCGCUAAUAUGUCUGAAUCCUCUGCCUUUGAUUCUCCGAGAUUGGUGACCAAGAAGGUCCUUGCUAAGCUUCAGCGUGAAGGGGAUGGUGCUUCUGUCAGGAGAAGCAUUGGAAGGUAUAAUAUAAUAUAUCAUGGAUGGAUGGAUGGAUAUACAAUUUUCUUCUUGUCAAAAUUGAAUUAACUGUUUUCGUUUCUGUGGUGAAAUUGAAUGAUUGAAUGUUGAAUUAUUUUGGUUCAGGAGUGAGCUCAGGUCUCUGGACCCUUUCCUCAUGUUGGAUGAGUUUUCAGGUCUGCUUUGCUUAAUUACUUGAAACCAAAUUCCUUGAUAUUUUCUAGAAUUAGGAUGAUGAUGGAUGAUGGAUGGUAUUUAAUUUGUUGUUGCAAAUUGCAAUGCAUGAAGUCUCAGCUCCUGCUGGAUUUCCUGAUCAUCCACACAGAGGUUUUGAGACUGUUACAUACAUGCUGGAGGUACAGACAGUACUGGAGUUAAUUAUUUAUUAUGAAUUGAAGGCUGUUUUUUGUCCUUGGUAGUCUAUUUAUUGAUGUCUGUGAAAUUCGUGGGUGGCACUGGCAGGGAUCAUUCACUCAUCAAGAUUUUUCUGGGCAUAGAGGGACUAUUCAUGCCGGGGAUGUUCAAGUAAAAUAAUUCACUCAAUUACAAUACUACGACGUUUACUUAAUUAGCUAGCUUUACUUGAUCAAAGUCAAAAACUCUUUCUUUUUUUAAAGUAAACAACAACAACAACUUGUGUGUUUUCCUGUUGGGCAGUGGAUGACAGCAGGUAGAGGGAUAGUCCAUUCAGAAAUGCCUGCAGGAGAAGGAGUCCAGAGAGGCCUUCAGCUUUGGAUAAACCUCUCUUCUCAACAUAAAAUGUAUGUUUUUAUUUCCUUUUUUGUUUGUACUUUCCAACUUCACCAUUCCAACAGUUUGUAAUAUGGAACCAACAGGAUUGAGCCAAGGUAUCAGGAACUUCUGAGGCAGGACAUCAAAAGAGCAGAGAAAGACGGGGUUGAAGUCCGAAUCAUAGCAGGGGAAUCAAUGGAAAUCGAGUCUCCAGUUUAUACAAGGACCCCAACAAUGUACCUUGAUUUCACACUGCAACCAAGGUCCCAAAUGCACCAGCCCAUUCCAGAAUUAUGGAACGCAUUCAUUUACGUCAUUGAAGGUGAGGGAGUGUUUGGGAUCCCAAACUCCUCACCAGUUGAAGCACAUCAUACACUCGUUCUAGGCCCUGGUGAAGGAAUGAGCGCCUGGAACAACUCCUCUUCCAAACCCUUGAGGUUUGUCUUGAUUGCAGGCCAGCCACUUAACCAACCAGUGGUGCAGCAUGGUCCUUUUGUCAUGAACACAGAAUCUGAAAUCCACCAAGCAAUUGAAGAUUACCACUACUCCAAAAAUGGGUUUGAAAUGGCGCAGUAUUGGAGUUCCCAAUAGGGAACAAGUAAGUGCUUGGAUCACUCAAAACCAAAUCUCCACAUUCCCUCUCAACUUUGAAGAAGAAAAGAGUAAAGAAUAAAAAUACACAUCCACAAACACUAAAGGCCACACGCAUAUGUGAGUGAUACUCAUUUGUGUUCCAUCAUGUAUUAAUUUAGCUUUUAUCCUCUUCCAACCUUUUACUAUUCCAAAUCAAAAGGUUGAUUAUUGCAUUGUCACACAAAACAAUGAUAAUAAAAAUACUCAAUUCAUAUAAUCCUUAGAAUUAAUUCUUUUCAUAACUAUAGUAGAUGUUUGAACAAGUGAGAACAAAAUAUAAGCUUAAUCUUAAUAGUAAUAUCAACGGAUAAUAGCACUGUGUGUCACUUAAUUAUUACCCAUGUCGCACAUAAACUACUUAACUUUCUACAUUGCACAUAAAGCCACUUAACUUUGCUUAUGCUUGCAACAUCCAAAUUUUCAUUCAAUUUAUGGAUAGACUGAUCGAAUUGAUGAGUUCUUAUUCGAGAUCUUCUGUAUGAAUAACCUCCAACACAUUAAAGAGAACAAUAAUUUAUAAGAACUGACAGAAUAACUUAUUACUUGUUUACAGAAAAGAAUGAUAAAAUAAAAAGGCAAGAAUAGAUUAUAAUCAUGCCUUGGACACUGCUUUCGAAAAAAUAUUUCCCGAAUUUAGAACACCAAUACAACUAAAGGUUAAUCACAAUAUUCACUCAAACUCUAGUGUAGGGCUUGAAUGUUGGAACUUGGAAACUUAUGCUAUUUUGAUUCCGAUUUUGAGAGUGAAAACAAAGUUUUCUGCCCAUAUUAAUCAACUAGGAUUUCCCUUUUUAAAGAGAACGCAUCCACUAACCAACAUCAAAUCCAGAUUCUCCUUUCUGAUGAUCAUCAAUGAUAAGCAGAUAUGGGGAAGGUGGAGUUGAGCUCCCGAUUUCUAGGAAGCCAACCAAAUACUUCUGUUAAGCAUAAGUCUUGAGUAUAUGCGGUAUGUAACUGAUCAUUACUGUUACUUCAAGUGGUUAGAUAAUGGUUACAUCAUCUUGCUGUUGUCCGUUGAUGACAUGUUGAUAGCAAGUUCUAUUGUAAAAGAAGUAAACAAGUUGAAGAAACAGUUAUCUAACAGUUUACUAUUAAGAAUAUAGGAGACGCUAAACAGAUUUUGAGUAUGUGCAUUGAUCAUGAUAGGCAAGUAGGAAAGUUUUAUCUUUCGCAAGUUGAAUAUAUCAAGAAAGUCUUGAAGAGGUUCAAAAUGCAGGAUGCAAAACUAGUAAAGAUUCCUUUGGGUGGCUAUUUCAAGCUAUUUGAGAAGGAUAUGCCUAAUAAUGAUCCAGAACGUGCCCAAAUGCACGAAACACCAUACAUUUUUGUAAUUGAUAGCUUGAUGUAUGGAAUGGUGUGCACAAUACCAGAAAUUGCACAUGUAGUGGGAGUUGUCAAUAGAUUCAUGGGAAAUCGGGGGGAAGCGAUUAAGUACUCCUGAGAUAGUUGAAGAUUACUACUAAAAGGGUCUUGGGCUUUGAGGGCAAAGUAAUGUAGUUAGAAGGAUUUGUCAUCAAGUGACCUUGAUAGAAGAAGAUGUACAACAUGGUAUAUUUUUACUCUUUGAGGUACCAUGGUUUCUUGGGCUUUUAAGUUGCACUGUCUAACACUCAAGCUAAAUAUGUUGCGGUAACGAAGGCCAGCAAAGAGAUGGUAUGGUUUUAGAAUUUCUUUGGUGAAUUGGGGAAGAAGAAAGAGGAUAGCAUAUUGUACAUUAGUCUUAUACACUUGCAAAAAAUUCAGCAUUUCAUUCAAAAUCGAAGCUCAUAUUGAGUUGAUGUAUCACUUUAUGGGUUGAUCUCUUGGAAAGGAAGAUCUUACGGCUUAUGAAGAUUCUAGGAAGUGAGAAUCCUAUGGAUAUGCCGACUAAGGUUGUAAAGUUGGAGAAGUUGACACUGUGUAUGACUUUAACUGGUUUUGUAACUGAAGUUGAAGGUCAGAUGCUGCUUGUAGUAGGAAGACGUUGAACAUGGAGAACCAAUGAGAGGAGUAUGUCUUCAGGUGGGAGAUUGUUGGGUUAUGGUGCCUAAGAAACUGAAGGCUUGGUCCAGUUAGUUUGUUUAGUUAGAUAAAAAUUAAGAUUAAUCUUGUCUAUUCUAUAUAGGAUUAGAAUUAAUAUGGUAGCUCCCUAUAAAUAAUCUAUAUUCAUAUCAUUGUAAUCUGUAUCACAACAAUAGUAGUCGAAAUCCUAACUUGGUUUGUAAAAAAAGAAAUUCUAGCGUGGUAGCGCCCUAGACAUACUCUUCUCGUGAAGAGGAACUAGGUUCUUAAUUUUUCAGUUUAUGAUUGCGUUUCAUUUUUUACAGGAACGACCAGAUCCAGCUCAGAAACUUCCUCAAGAUGGCGACGUUGAAGAAGCUCUGUCUCGCUAACGCCUAACAAUGGCUUCUCUAGACUGAUUCAGACUGUCCUCACCGCUGGAAAAGGAGAUUAGAUAGAAAUCCAUCUUUUAUUCCUCUUCAUUGUUUUUAUGACAAUUUCUUCUUUUCUUUUAUAAUAGAGAACUAUUUAUCACUUUUGUUGGACAUUUCUUGUUUGUUUCCCUCAAGAACUAAUAAUUUUGGUCAAUGGGUGACCACUGAUGAUGUUGAUUCUAUAAGCUUUAGUAUUUAGUCAAAUUCUUGAGUUUUUUUCAACUAGAAAAAAAAAGAAGAGAGGUUACAGUUUCAAUUAUUAAGUUUGAAGAAUUAAAGAAAAAAAACUAGACUACAGAUAUGAAAAGGUAAUUCUGAUAAUUUUUAUUGAUGAAUUUUUUUUUUGUAAUGAGUAAGAUAAUUUUUUAGGUUUUAUAAAUGGGUUUUUGGUUAAAAAUCUCAUUUAGAUAGAGUUUUUGAUGGGUAAUUAUGAAAUUUGACAUAAAGGGUACAUGAUUAAAAAGGUGGGAAAGGAAGAUGCGAAAAGAAGGUAAGAAGGAAUCAAUUCAUGGCAAAAAAGAAAAAUAAAUAAGAGGGAAGAAAGAAGACAUAUAUUGAUGGGAGGCGGAGGUGGGAUAGGGAGGUGAGAGAAAGAUGUAACAACAAAGAAGGGUUUAGCGAAAGGUGNNNNNNNNNNNNNNNNNNNNNNNNNNNNNNNNNNNNNNNNNNNNNNNNNNNNNNNNNNNNNNNNNNNNNNNNNNNNNNNNNNNNNNNNNNNNNNNNNNNNNNNNNNNNNNNNNNNNNNNNNNNNNNNNNNNNNNNNNNNNNNNNNNNNNNNNNNNNNNNNNNNNNNNNNNNNNNNNNNNNNNNNNNNNNNNNNNNNNNNNNNNNNNNNNNNNNNNNNNNNNNNNNNNNNNNNNNNNNNNNNNNNNNNNNNNNNNNNNNNNNNNNNNNNNNNNNNNNNNNNNNNNNNNNNNNNNNNNNNNNNNNNNNNNNNNNNNNNNNNNNNNNNNNNNNNNNNNNNNNNNNNNNNNNNNNNNNNNNNNNNNNNNNNNNNNNNNNNNNNNNNNNNNNNNNNNNNNNNNNNNNNNNNNNNNNNNNNNNNNNNNNNNNNNNNNNNNNNNNNNNNNNNNNNNNNNNNNNNNNNNNNNNNNNNNNNNNNNNNNNNNNNNNNNNNNNNNNNNNNNNNNNNNNNNNNNNNNNNNNNNNNNNNNNNNNNNNNNNNNNNNNNNNNNNNNNNNNNNNNNNNNNNNNNNNNNNNNNNNNNNNNNNNNNNNNNNNNNNNNNNNNNNNNNNNNNNNNNNNNNNNNNNNNNNNNNNNNNNNNNNNNNNNNNNNNNNNNNNNNNNNNNNNNNNNNNNNNNNNNNNNNNNNNNNNNNNNNNNNNNNNNNNNNNNNNNNNNNNNNNNNNNNNNNNNNNNNNNNNNNNNNNNNNNNNNNNNNNNNNNNNNNNNNNNNNNNNNNNNNNNNNNNNNNNNNNNNNNNNNNNNNNNNNNNNAUGGGUUUGUGGUUAAAAAUCUCAUUUAGAUAGAGUUUUUGAUGGGUAAUUAUGAAAUUUGACAUAAAGGGUACAUGAUUAAAAAGGUGGGAAAGGAAGAUGCGAAAAGAAGGUAAGAAGGAAUCAAUUCAUGGCAAAAAAGAAAAAUAAAUAAGAGGGAAGAAAGAAGACAUAUAUUGAUGGGAGGCGGAGGUGGGAUAGGGAGGUGAGAGAAAGAUGUAACAACAAAGAAGGGUUUAGCGAAAGGUGAUAUAAACAAAAUUAAUUUUGUAAGAAAAUAUUUUUUUUAAUGCCAUGUCAACUAGUUUGUAACUUUUAGUGUCCAUGUCAACAAACAAAAUUUUAUAAAGUUACCAAAAUUCAAAAUUUGUGUUACGAAAAGUAUUUCUAAUAGAUUGUGCCAUUUUCGGUAAAGGCUUAAUAGGUUGUGCAUUUAAGAAAAAAAAUAUUAUUGUGUUUCUACAAUUAACAUCAAUUAUCACCAAACCAUUAAAUACUAAAAACCAAUUAAGAUAUAGUCAUGUUACAAAAAAUGACUCUUGUUAUGAUUUUUUUGUUUAUGCAAUGAUAGGAUGAGAUUAAAAGGUUAAUUUCUUUUUCGACAAAACUUGUAAAAUAUUAUUAAACUCAAUUAGAUAUAAUAUCAUCUACAGUUGGUCAAUCAAAAAAAUUGAGGGUCUAUCCACCGAAACAAUCGUGGAGUUCCAAUGAGUCUGAUUAUACGCCAUAACAUGGGUAAGCUUGUUAACUUAUCUCCGGCCAUGACGCCAAUUACCACAAUCAAACUUUGCCAAAAGGCAACGAAUUAUGGACUAAAAUCCAUGUUCGGUAUGAUGAUCUUCCACAUGAUGCAAAGUCUCAACCAUGAUCAAGCUAUCACUUUCAAGAACCACAUUAGGAUACCUAUGUUGCAAGGCCAAUUGUUAGCAAAAUCUUGCCUCGACCGCCUCAGUUAAAGUAGGCUCAUAGCAACCCUACAAUUUCAACAUAUCCGCCAUUAAGUAAUGCCGAACGCCAUCCCAGAUAACCACCCCAAUACCCAUUCUGGAUCCUGUAAUGAUAGUUGCGUUUAAGGUAGUGAAACUGGUGAGUCAACAUGGGAUCGAAAAGGGACCUAGAAUCGUAAUCGUAAAAUCAAAUCGCAAAAUCAUAAAAUUUCACGGUUCUUCAAUAAUACUAAAUAUUCAGAAAUUCACCUUAGCAUAAAGACGUAAGUUCAUUAUCCAAUCUAAAAUUAAAAAUAAAAUCUCAAAUUCACCUUAAUAGGUUCUUCAGUUGCACUACUUUGAGCUGAUUUUCGAGUCUAGGAGACCGGAGACAAAAUCUGUGAACAAAAUUGUACAAUCUUACAACAAAAAACAAAAUACCUUCGAACAAAGAACCUAAACACCAAAAAUCCAAAACUAAUCUAACAAAAACAGAAUUAGAGAAAGGAAUGGGAUGAUGAGCAAAAUCAUGGAAUGGGAUGAUGAAGAAUCAUGGAAUCAAGGAAACAGAGAUACCUUCGAGCCGUAGGAGUGGCUGGAGCGAUGGGGACGACCAAAGAGGCUAUGACGAGGACCAUUGACUCCUGGUUCUGGUCUUCUAGACUUCUGGGGGACGACCGACGGGGGAGACGACAAGAGAGAAGACUGAGGAUCGAGCAGAGAUCGAACGAGCAAUCGACGACUUGCACAAUUUUUUUCAGAAGAUAAAUGAAUUUAAGGUUCGAUUUUUUGCCCAAAAUUGAACUCGGAUUUCCGUUUCGGUUCGAACCGAAGCAUAAAAACCAGCGGUCAGCACAGAGUAGUGGACUCGUGAAUCGUUGUAAACUCGUUCGAUUCCACGAUUUUCACGAUUUUGCGAGCGAUUUCAUGCCAUUAUAAGCCAUUUUGAUUGCGCGUGAAAUCUGACUCGACGGACCUAACAAAACUCGUAAAAUCGUCGAUUCCACUUCCUUCGUUGUGUAUGUACUGAUAUGGGGUUCCUGGUUUAGUGGUUGAACCGGGGUUGGACCGUUUUUAAACCGGGUCGGCCAUUUUAAAUAUUACAUAAAGUUAAAUCGGACCGAAAAAAUAUUGGAUUGAACGAAAUCAAACUGACAGUACAAAUAGUCAAAUUUUGAGAUUUAACCUUUGAAAAUUGAACAAUUUUAAAAAAUUUAUGUACAUUAUGAUGUUAUUCUUUUUUAAGUUUAUGUAAUAUAAUGAUAUUAUCUAUAGUUGAAGUCUUCCACACAUAUAUAUCUAGAAUGCUAAAGAAACCCUAAUGGAUCUUUCAAUCUUUCUUUAAUUGGGCUCCAACUACUCAAUACCCUCUCUCACACUUUUUUUCUCUAUAGAGAAACUCUCUCCCUUUUUCAUCAGAUUUUUUUCUCCUUGUAAUCUAAUCUUAUUUUUCUAAUAUUUUCAUUCUAUUUCUUCCCUAUUUGUCUCUUUUACUUUUUUCUUUUUGGAAGGUUAUUAGAAAAAGAGGACCACUAAAUAAUUCCGUCGACGUCCAGCAAUAGGGUUUUCCAAUUUUUUCACAGAUGGAUCCAUGUUUCCAAAGUUCUUUUGUUUUUUUUUCUGAUCUGAUAGUUGGUUCUUUAACUAGUUGAAUUAUCUGGUUUUCCGGGGAAAUCGGGUCAAUCCUCAGUUUUGUUCAUUCUCCUCAACCGCUAACUCAGUAUUGAUCAAAUGAUCGGUUCACAGUCGGACCGGCCGGGCUGAUAUGGUUUUGCUAACAUUGAUCUUAGUAGAGCCGACUAGAGGCCAUUCCAACCGAGCCACAAUGGCCUCAUACGAAAAACUCCUAGUUACCCUGAGUUCUUGAUAAUAAAUAAGAAUUGGAGUGCUUGUGCUAUGAUAUCACACUCCAAUUAGUGAAACUCAUUAAGCAUACACACAUUCCUUUCUUUCCAUCAGAAUCACAUAAGCAUUACCCAUCUUUCCAACUCCAAAUUCAAAACUUUGCGGUUGCUAAGUGAGAACCAAUCGCAUCAGUCAUUAGAAUCAUCAAAAUCAACCAGUGAUCAUGUUUAGAGUUACCUCAAAUCCGCCAAGUCCAUUGGCAAUCUCGGAAAUAGUGAAUUUGCAGGCAACCUGCAAAAUGGGCAUAUAUCACCAUGUCGAGGAUUAUGCUUAUACAUAUUAUACCUGUAGGUAAAAUUUACGAUGAAAUUUUCAUAAGAACUGCUCACCUUCGACGGAAUCUACAAUGACCAAGAACAAUUCCAAACAUCCGAGUUGCAAUUUGGAUUAAGACCCACUAAAAGAAAACCGUGUCCAUUAUUACGGAUAAAACCGGCCGUUGUCACUGAUAUUUCCAUGUCCCUGCCUCGUUGUCGCGGGAAAAUCAUCCGCGACAACGGGCGCCUUCAUAAUGAGGGGUGNNNNNNNNNNNNNNNNNNNNNNNNNNNNNNNNNNNNNNNNNNNNNNNNNNNNNNNNNNNNNNNNNNNNNNNNACGGCCGCCUUCAUAAUGAGGGUUGUGGGGACUAAACUAUCCGCGAAAAAUAGGGUUGGCGCGAACCCGUUAUGACCGGUUUGGUUCAAAUAGUUAGGUUGAAAGGCAUUUUAACAAGUUUAUCCGCAAAAACGGCAAGAGAUAUCCGCGACAAUGGCUAACAACAUUUGUUUUGCCGUCAUAACGGUUCCCCUAACGACGUUGAGUUUAUCCACGGCCAAGGUUGACAUUGUUAGUUUCUCCAUCCUACCCGUAAUGGUUGUUGUGCCAAAUACUAGGCCAUAAUAUCUGCGACAACAGCUCAAGUACUGCCUAAAAUUUUGUUAUUUUUGCUUGUUUCGUCCACUGUGGGCGCCUAAAAUAAAAGUUUAUAUAUGCACUAUUCUACACAUAACACAAUAUAUACCAAUAUCAUUAGCAUAACGAUAACACAUAUGAUCAUCCAAGAGUUAAUACUAUAACAUAAUCCAUAGAUCUACUCCAACAUAAUUCCUUGAUUUUUUACCUAACUAAAGUCAUUAGUUCACUAGACUACAUCACUAUCAACCUAGAUAUAACUACACUAGAGACUCGUCAUCCUCAUCCUCGUCAUUAUGACCAAGAUCCUUAUUAGCUCAAGUAUACAAAAGAAGAUAUAUAAAAUUGAAAUUAGGUUAAAACACAUAAAAUUAAGUAACAUGAACUUUAUAACAUAUAAAGAUUACUAAUAAUUUACCCGCCACAUCGUAGUCGUAGUUCUGUUGGAUGUGGUUAUAUUAUAUUAACCGCUACAAUCGUCGUUACGGAUCAUUAUCCGUGUCCGACGAUGACCUAACCGUGACACCCGUUAUCGCGGAUAUUAUCCCCCAUAACUAAUCUACGUCAGACAUCAAAUUUUGUUGUAGUGGCCAAGCUAUUCUUUAAAGCUAGUCAGCCAGUUUUAAUACCCCUAUUUUUUCGAAUAAACAGCUUUACUACUUGAAAUCCAAAUAAGCAUUCCGAUUCUUGAACAUCGCAAUGAAUAAUUUGCACGAUAGAAGUUGAUAUAGUUGACCAAAAACAGCUUUCAAUAAGAGCAGUAUUCUACUGAUAAGUCGUUCGAUUAACCAACUCACGAACUGUAGCAUCAACAUCAAACCUCAUCGGCGUAGAGGUCACAAAAUUACCGGGUACUAACGGAAGCCAUCCGUCUCCCCAAAUUCUAACGGACAUACAAUUUCCCACCCACCACCCAAGGCCACUCCAUACAAAACAUUGAGCACCAAAAAGGCUAUGCCAUAUAAAGCUAAACCCAACUCAGCUUUAAAGACAUAAUAGAAUUUUUAAAAUACUUAGCUUUCAUAAUUCUUACAAUAAGGGAAGAUGCUCUUGAGUGUAAGUUCCAAAGAUGUUUAGCAAGUAAAGUAAUGUUAAAGCCUAAAAAAUCACAUAAUCCCAUCCUAGCUUCGGAUUUCAAACUCAAUAGAUAUUCUUGACAAAAUGAGGGAUGAGCACUGGGUCGGGUCACCCAUCAAAACCCACCCGCCUAUAAUCACUCUCUACCACUACUACCCUUUUCCCCAUCACCAUAAAACUUUGCAUGCUUGUUUGUGUGUUUUUGUAGUUUUUUUGUGUGUUUUAUGUCGCUUUUCAUCGUUUGAGUAGAGAGAGAGAGGGAGAGAGAGAGGGAGAGAGAGAGAGGGAGAGAGAGUAUUUCAAGGGUUGCAUGUCAUACCAAUGAUUAAGAAUGCAUGAUAGAAGGUCUCGAUUCAAAUUAGGGUUCGGUCGGUGUCUGAUCGAAGGACGAAUGAUGCUUGCAUUAUUUUAUUUUUACUGAAAAAUUGGGCUUCUGGAGCAGCCUUUAGAUCAAUCUCAAGGUGUGUGGCUUUGCAUAGUGUGUGUCGUUUCCUUAAGUUUCUCUCGAUAGAAAAUCGAGUUUAUGGCGUGUGAUCCCACAUGCCAUGUGACUGAUUUUUGACAAAACGAACCGACCAAAGAACAACCAAAAACCCAACCGGCUCAAACCGUAAUGAACCAGAUUGAUUUUCAAACCGAUUUUCAACCAAAUCAAACUGAGUUUGACCAGACGCAUUGACCCUUCGUUGACCGGCCGUUGCCCCCGUUGACCGGUCACCAUGGAAGAAAAAACAUGGCAGUUUAGUAGUAUUUUGGGCAUAACAUUUUGCUCGGGAGUCUGAUUGACACAAGGUCAGUGACGUUGGAAACUUGUUCAGUUGCCUACAACUUUGAUGUCAUGAUGUGGCCUAAAUCCAUGCAGUUUGUGCUCAUUUUUCUUGGUUUGGAUUGAUGGAAUUUGAGAAAGUUUGAAUUGUGGUCUUGUUUGGUUUGAUGAUUUGGUGCGAUCGUGAUCAAUUUCUUGAUAGUAUUAUAGUGAUAUGUUCAUUGCAAAUGCUAACGUUUGGGAUGGUUGUCCAAAAUGGAUAAUUCUAGCUUUGCAAUGUGAAGAUUGCUGGAUGUUGAGACGUGAUCACUUUGUCACUCUUGUAUCGAUGGCAUGUUGUUGAUUUUCAUGAGAACUUGGAAUGGCAUCAUGAUGCUUCAAAGUGUGGUUGAACGUAGGUUGUUACUAGGCCUGAGAGUCGGUUAAUUUGGUUACUAACCAUCUGCUUAAUGUUCGGGGAAAAUGAUUUGGAGAUUAAAGUUGGUUAAUCGGUUUAACUGACCGACCAUAUGUAAUGGUUAAAAAGCCGACCAAUAACUGAUAAAUCGGUUAAAUAACCAAUUAUUAACCAACAGAUUAGUCGGUUAAUCCUAUGAACUGACUUUGAUUGAUUGACCGACUAUACCGACUUAACCUAACAAGAUCUGAAUCUCCAUGCUCAUCUCUGCCAUCGAGUGAGCCACGUUCUGCUCAUGAUAACCGUUCGUCCAAGCAUUCAUACUCUACUAAGAAAGCUUGCCAUGGCCGCCACUCUGAACACCGGUCAAAGAACUGAAUACUUGUUCCAAGAUCCGAACUUCCAGAACCGUCUCCAAUCCAUCUUCCCAAUUGUAGUUUGGACAAAGUUUCCUCAUCUGAAUUUUUACUCAAUCACACAACUACAACCUACACGACAACCAUAAUCAAUAGAGUGGAGGGGGAUAGGAUGAAACAGAGGACUGGUUGAAAUUAUAUGGGCCUAUGUUGCAUCCUCAAUAGCUCGUCGUCGCCAAGCCUCACUGAGCCGUCCCCGAGAGAGGAAGAGACGUAGAGUCUAGAGAUCGUGCUUUACUAGUGCUCAACACUCAUGGAGCCGUCACUGAGAGAGGAACAUAAUCCCUAAUGAAUCGUGAAAUCGAGAAUGAACGGGGAUAAGUGAAUAUGUUUGUGUGUGUGUGAGUUUGACCUAAAAAUGGGGGGAUUGGGAAUACGACGUAGACAUUUGGGUUCAGACUUGGGGUUCUUUUGACCGAUUAAUGUUGGUUAACACAAGUUAACUGACGGGUUUUAACCGAUUCACCGUUUAACUGAAGUCAGUUUUUCUCUUUGACCGUCCCCCAACCAACCUGUAGCUCGAUUAAACCUUCCUCUAACUUAUUCGGUCGGUUAAUCAAUUUUAAACGAUUAACCGAAACUGAAUUCCUACCCUUAGUUGUUACUAGGUGCUUUUGUUGCUCCCAAUUGAUGAUUUGUGAUUAUUUCCAUGCUCAUUUAAUUUGCUUCCAUUGCUCAUAUUUUGUCCUACCAUUACCCUUGAUGACUCAUUGGUUACUCACUGUUUUGGUAAAUGGUUCAAAGAAGCAUGAGGCAUAUUACUAGUCCAUUUGUUCCUGUAAUGAUAUAUCUUUGACCUCACCUUUUGGUAUAACUUGAAUGAUGCAUACGUUGUCACUUCAUGCUUUGCAUACACUCUUUAUGCUCGUUCUUGUUCAUUGGACUUGGUCAACAUUUGUGAGGAUUUCUUUGUGGCAAUUGAUGAUAAAUGAGUUAAGGUGGUCCCAUAGCUUUUGCUUACCCUUGUCUUACUAAUUUAUGAAUUAUAGGAUGCUCUUGUUUAGGAUUGCUAGUUAGUCUUGCUUGAGAAUAACUAGUUAUCUUCUUCAUUGGUUUUGCCUUUCUUUUACAUCUUGCCUAUGCCAUGUCUACUUAUGAGCUAUUUAUUGCCUAUCGUUGCCUAAUUCGAUUGGAUGCUUAUUGAGGUGGUUCCUUAGUGGCCGUAGGAUUAUGGGUUGACACCUCUACAUGCUUGAUGUGUAUGAUUAUUCUCCAUUUCGAAAUUUUCAAUGAUACUUUAAAGUCAAAUUUGAAUGCUCUUUACAAAUGUGUCAAUUUUGGCACAGUUUUCAAGGAUUCAUCAUUUAGUGUUUAUAAUUCAUUUUCGUUUUAAAUUUUCGUUUCCCACAUUUACUUUUCAUGUUUUGUUGCUUUUAUUGUUUUAAAUUUUAUUAUUUUUAUUUUAAUAGGCUUACUUUCCUUGUAUAUCCCCAAUUGUAACUUGGUAUCCGUAUUCUCAACUAAAUCAACAAAUGACACCAAAUAACUUAAAAUUGAGAACUAUAAGAGCUCAAAAGAAGGAGAUUUAGCAGAGUCUCUUAUAGGUUUCAAAAAAGCGAGGAAGGAUCUUCAAGUGGAGAGGACCCUUUCUCCUCCCUAACUCCAAUGGCGAACAAAACUCUAGCAUUAGACCACCUAAAGUCAGACGAUAAGCCAUGCAUUCAUCUCGUGGACUUUAUCUUCUAUUGCGACACCAUCAAGCUACACGGUGUUUCUGUUGAGGUUCACAUCGUGUUCCCCUUGAGUUUCAGCAACCAUCCACUCCAAGCACCUUAAAUCAUCCGUCUUAGUUUCUGCUUGUCCCCAAACACCGUACAUCGCAUGUACUUCGUGAUUUUUCCAUUCUUUGAGGCAUUUAGCUCCUCCUUGUACAUCAUACAGUUAUGAAUAAUGCCUCGACGUUGUUGUGUGCCUGAAAUUGAUAAAAAACACAACGCAACAACAUCAAAUGGACCCCAAACGGGUAUGAGACACUAAAUCGAGAUAGAAGUUACAAAUGCACAAAACAUCAUGUCGUGAAUGUUUCGAUCCGCGACACCGAUGGCUUGAAAUAUUUCAGAGUCGCCACCAAUCUGUUGAAGCGGAUUGGACGCUGUCGACAUAACCCAGGUCCUUUUGGACGUGAGUUAGAACAGGUCUGCGGAACAGAGAUCCUGGAUUCGAGAGGCGGUUACGUGCAGGGAAGGAUUAGCACCCCCAUAGCGCCCGUCAAACCGGUACUACUAAAUUUGAUAAGUUAUGUUUUAUUUUCUUAGUUUAGUGGUUUAAUUAUGCUUUAGUUUGGACGCAUAAGGUUAUGUAAAUUUUUUAGAGAAUAUUUUUAUUCAAUUGUAAGUCUUUAUGAGUUCCCACUCUUGUGGAAAUUUUUUUUUAUGUUGAUAAAUAUUUUGAGUUGAACAUUCUUAAUUUAAUUGUUUGGAUUUACGAAUUCCCAUUCUUGUGGAAAUUUUGUUUUACGCUGGUGAAUAUUUUUAAGUUGGUUAUUUUUAAUUUAUAUGUUUGGACUCAAGUCUUACGACUGCCUACGUACCUAAUUCUUUGGGAUCAAAGAUCAUGUAGUUCGUUAUGGAAAAGUUGAUUUGAGGAUUUUUUGUAAUUUUUACUAUUAUAAAAACCACGUUAUCAUGCUCAUUUUUUAUUUGAAAGACAUUUAUUUGGUUAUUUCAAAGUUGGAACUUUAUUUGCCCACUUAUGAUUAAAUGAUAAUUCUACAAAAUUCGAAACUCUUGUCACGGAUACGAAAUUCAUAUAACAUUGCUAUAAUAUCUUUAAAGGAUUAUUAUUAAGGAAAUUUCACAUUUUUUGCCAAUCGAAAAAUUAAUUGGUUUAUAUCAGUUAACUUAAUUUGACAUAAUUAAAAAUGCAUUACAAGACGGUUAACGAACUUACAUUUAAAUAAAUAUGUCACAAGUAUUUUUGGUGAUUUGACAAUUCUAUUGUGGUUAUGUUAAUGUUAAUUAAAAUGAUACGUUGAUUUGAAUAAUUGUAAAGUUUUGAGUUUUUAAGUUUACAACUUUAAGGUAUAAAUAUCAAAUAGGAUUAAAGAAGGUAUGACGUUUAUUCUGUUAUUCUUCCACACUUAUUUCACUUUUAUUCCACUCUUAAUAUGGCCUUAAUGAUAUAUGAAUAUAAUUGAAUCGACUAAAGGCUUGGCCUUUCUAAAUUAAUUGUGCCCAAGCUCGAGCUCGGCCCAACCGAACGAUGAGCCGAACCGGCGGGUAAGAGGAGGGCAGCCCGCGUGCCAAACUGGUCGAACCGGUUAUCCACGGUUCGAUCAGAAAACUCAAAAAGAUGAAAUUGCCCCUAGCGUUCCGUGCGCUGAAGAAGGGUGGCAGGGGAAAUUUUGUAACUUCACCUUAAACCUAAUCGGCCUUAUAAAAGGGCCUCUUAAAUCGAGAAAUGACUCAUUUGCAACUUCCCACUCUCUCUUUAUCAUCCCUCUUUCUAAACCGCCGCCCUUCUCCCCCCCCCCCCCCCCCCCCCCCCCACCCACCUUUAUCACGGAGUGUGCUGUUUUUUUCUAGUUCCUUUCUCUUCUUCUCAGCCGCCCUUUUUUGCCUCCUCUUACCUCUCAGGACCCCUCUUUCUACCUCCGUUUUUUCGAUUUUUCCAGAUUUGGACUUGCAUGUCAUCGGAGGAUACUCCGGUGAGUCCUCCGGCAAAAUGCAAGUCUCGAUCUGUAGAUCUAAUGUUUUAUUUUGGUAUUAAACAAUUUUGGUUAUUUGAGGGUGGUACCGACGGGGGUGGCGGGGAGGUAGAGAAAUGGAAAAAAGAGAAAGUUAGGUAAGUAAGAUUUCUUCCCUAUUCCUUUUGAUUAAUGUCUGGUUAAUUGCUAACGAAGCUAACUACCGGUUUCUUUGAUGACUUUUUUUAUGUCUUUGAAAAUGGGCAUAGUCGACAUGUUUUGGAAAAUGAGAGGAAAAGGAGAAGAUUGCUUUUAGGAGGUAAGACAGCUAAUUUUGAACCCAUUCUAAUUUUUCUAGGUAGAAGUAACAAUUCUAUUUGUUGAUAAGUUGCAUAAGAAACUAGGUUUGUUUUGUUACUGAAGUUGUAGUAGUAGUCUAGGUGUUUUAAAAAGUUUUGUUUGAAAAACUUUAUUUUUUUUACUAUUGUUUAAAUUUUUUUAGCAACAUUGUUUAUUCCAAAAAUCCGUAUUUUAACUCGAUUUUACUAUGAGUUUCAUAGUUCUUUAGGUCUUUGGUGCGAAAAUGAUGAAAGAUGGCUAUAGGUUUCGUUGUUAAUACUUUCCAAUAACUUUUAGUUCAUUUUUGAAGCUUAUUUGAUUGAUUUGUUGGUUGUUUAUUAAAAUGAAUCAUUUAUUUGAUUAGUUGCAACGAAUCAUUGGGUUCAAUAGUAGUUUAGAAGGUUGCUAAGUGAUAUAGCAUAACAAUGUAUAUGUAUGAAUGAUGUGUGAAUGCUUCAGAAUAGGGAUGUUUUGAAUGAUUACCUUCAUUCAAAAUUUCUCUUUUAUCGUAUUUCAGGUGGCGGCGCCUAUCGUGAGUGACGUCAAACCGAUUUGGCGGCUUCUAUGUGUAUGGCGACAAAAGAUGUUGUAAAACUUAUUUUUUUACAGUUUU
rnacentral:lncRNA from 1 species